rnacentral:lncRNA from 1 species
GGUACGUCGGUGAGGGCAUGGAGGAGGGAGAGUUCUCUGAGGCCCGUGAGGAUCUUGCUGCCCUGGAGAAGGACUAUGAAGAAGUUGGUGCUGAGUUCGACGAGGGUGAGGACGGUGACGAGGGCGACGAGUACUAGAGCCUGCCUCCUGGUGCUUUCGCAAGGCGUGCUGCUGCUAUCCCAUGAUCUGCCCGAGUGGCUUUAUCUGUUAUCUGUCUGUUUGAAUCUUUGCUUUGUGGUGUUUGUUUUACAACCUGUUGUGUUGUAAGACCCUUGUAUCUUUGAACCUGUUAUGCACCUUGGUUAAUAUGCAUGCUAUCUGGUUAUCUACACCAUAGCCUUAAUUGCUCUGUCUCCAUUUUCCUGUUUUAUACUAAUUUGUAUUGUUUCAUUUGUGGUACUGUUGAACUCUGCCUAUUAUCUCAACAUAGCCGGUCGGAAGCCCGAGUGAAGGAGUGUUGGUGAGAUGCUUGGCGAGCCAUUGUUUCAGCCACUCUUGUGCAGUUGAAACCCAAAAGCCCUGGCCCAACUUGUUAAACUUGGCCACUCUUAUGCAGACGAAACCCAACAGAUGGCCUACCCCAAAUUGGUUGCAAUGAUGAUCGAACCUAACUUGAAAUGUUGUUGCUUCCAGUCAAGUGCUACGCUUGUACCAACCUAGAGUUUGAACUGGAAUUGAGGAAAUGUUUGUUGAGUUUGCUAUUUUACAGGUGCCUGAAGUUUCUCCUAUAUCAUCAGCGACCUAAUUUGAUCUUCCUGUGGUCAAUUGGAAUUCAGGGAAUGUUUGUUGCUAACAAGACGCCUGAAAUUUAUUCUCCUAUAAACCACGAUUAAAAGAUUCAGUAGUAGCCACAAGCUUAAAAAGCAGCAAGUAUAAAUCACAGGCAAGAAAUAUAUAAGACCUGUAAAUUGUUUGUUUUCUGAUGGACCAUAUCAGACGUAACUCAGAUCUGUACUCUAUUCUUUAGAUAGAUGGCAAGAGAAUAUGAUCAAAAAUGCUGGUGAAGUAUGUCCAAAUAACAUGGUUCAGUGUUCAAGCAGGAAGCCAGUCUCCAUCAGGGGGUGUACCUGUAAAAGAUUUGAAUCAUCAGUUUGGGUCUCAACAAUUUCUUCUAUCAACACCAAGCAAUCCCCACACCGCUAGACCGGCGUCAAACCCCCAAUUAUUGCCCCGGCGACGCGAGUUACGGCGGCCAGCGCCAGCGGAGUGCAGACGGGCCUACGGUGGCGUGCGCCGUCGGGGAAGAGUCCCGUUGCUCCCCUGUCCAUGCUUCCCCGCACGACACCACUCCCCGGCGGCGUUGACCGAGCUCGGAGCUGAGGCGAGGCAGCCGGCGGAGUGCAGAUGGCGGCCGCGCUCCUCGUCCGCCGUCCCGGUGGCGGCUUACGUGGGCAGCCUCGAGCUCGGCCACAACUCCCAGCAGAUCAAGGCCAAGCUCGCGCACACGCGAGGCCUGCUGCACCGCGACCUCGGCCACAACCCUGGACUGCAGGACUUGCUGCCGGCGCUGAGCAGGAACGCCGACCAGGCGGAGGACCUGCUGGAUGAGCUCCACCACUUCCAGAUCCAUGACAGGCACCACGGCACCAGCCACGCCACCACCCAGGCCAAUUUUCUUCCUCAUGGCCGCAAUGCUCUCCGGCACACUGCCACUAGCUGGGCCGCGUGCUUUUCUUGUCGUCUGCACAAAGAUCACGAUGACAAGUGACGUUUCCACCCAGUGAUCUUCUCCAGGAAAAUCAAGUCGGUGUUACAGGACAUGCAGGCCCACUGUGACUCCAUCUCCGAUUUGCUUGGGAAAUAUCCCAAGCAGCAGCAUGGAAGCCACCCUACACCGGCCUCAGAUUGGAUCCACAAUUAUGCAAGAUACAUUAUAUGGUAGGAGACACACUUUUGAGGAAACUGCCAACCGUGUCAUCAGCCGCGAAGAUACCUCUAUAAUGAUGCAAGGCUGUAUAGUGAUACUGGGGAUGAAAAUUAUUUUGAAGUCAGGGUCUGGGUAUGUGUAUCGACUGAAUUCGAUGUGCUUAAGCUCACCAGGGAGAUCCUUGGCUGCAUACCUGAACAAGAAGGAAUCAACGGUGUUGCAAAUGAAGCAACAAAUUUAGACCAGCUUCAGAAAUCCAUAGCACACCGUCUCAAGUCCAAAAGGUUUCUAAUUAUCUUGGAUGAUAUAUGGAAAUAUGACGGUCAGGAUCAGUGGAAGACCCUGCUAGCUCCAUUCACAAAGGGGGAAACCAAAGGAAGCAUGGUAAUUGUCACAACUCGAUUCCCAAAGAUAGCAGGCAUGGUGAAAAUACUUGAUCCACUAGAGCUGCGAGGUUUUGAGUCUUAGGGCAUCUCCAAUGCGCGGGCGCUUGCGUAGAUGCUUAGGGAAUAGAAUAAAAUAAAAUAAAACAAUGUUUACCGUCUGGGUAAGCGCCUAGGCGUCCAACGCUAGUGCCCUGUGAGACGCUUGUUCUCUCUCAUCAAAUUAAUUACCGGUGAACUGGAAGCACUCCCCUAACCGCUCACUGAUCCGGGGGCCCAAGGACACUAAUUUAACCCGAGACAAUAUUUUAAUUUAACUAAUUAAACCCACUGUUAAAAUAUGUAUCACUUACACAAGGAGCCACUGGUCAGUAUUGACUAGUCAAACGGUCCUGUUGACUGGACCUGCUGACGCAGCAGAGGCUCCUCGAGUCAGCCUCUACUAACUGGGCAGUUGACCCAGUCAACUGGGCCCACUGGUCAGCCUCUCUGCUGGUCAGUUGGGUACAAUUCUGGGUACACAAAUCAAUUACUGAAUAAACUUCGAAUUAAUAAUAUUUCAGGAAAUUCCAGAAUAUGUUUAAAUCUUUGAAAAAUCAUAUAAAUUAAUCCGUAAGUUAGAUGAAAAUAAUUUAUAUAUGAAAAUUACUCGAAAAAAUACAACAAUCUGAAUAUGCAAUCUGUUCAUCUUGAAGGAAAUAUGCCCUAGAGGCAAUAAUAAAGUUGUUAUUUAUAUUUUCUUAUAUCAUUAAAAAUGUUUAUUAUUCAUGCUAGAAUUGUAUUAACCAGAAACUUAGUACAUGUGUGAAUACAUAGACAAAAUAGAAUAUCCCUAGUAUGCCUCUACUUGACUAGCUCGUUAAUCAAAGAUGGUUAACUUUCCUAAACCAUAGACAUGUGUUGUCAUUUGAUGAACGAGAUCACAUCAUUGGGAGAAUGAUGUGAUGGGCAAGACCCAUCCGUUAGCUUAGCAUAUUGAUCGUUCAGUUUUAUUGCUAUUGCUUUCUUCAUGACUUAUACAUAUUCCUCUGACUAUGAGAUUAUGCAACUCCUGAAUAUCGAAGGAACACCUUGUGUGCUAUCAAACGUCACAACGUAACUGGGUGAUUAUAAAGAUGCUCUACAGGUGUCUCUGAUGGUGUUUGUUGAGUUGGCAUAGAUCGAGAUUAGGAUUUGUCACUCCGUGUAUCGGAGAGAUAUCUCUAGGCCCUCUCGGUAAUGCACGUCACUAUGAGUCUUGCAAGCAAUGUGACUAAUGAGUUAGUCACGGGAUGAUGCAUUACGGAACGAGUAAAGAGACUUGCCGGUAAUGAGAUUGAACUAGGUAUGAGGAUACCGACGAUCGAAUCUCGGGCAAGUAACAUACCGAUGACAAAGGGAAUAACAUAUGUUGUUAUGCGGUUUGACCGACAAAGAUCUUCGUAGAAUAUGUGGGAGCCAAUAUGUGCAUCCAUGUUCCGCUAUUGGUUAGUCACUGGAGAGGUGUCUCGGUCAUGUCUACAUACUUCUCGAGCCCGUAGGGUCCGCACGCUUAACAUUCGAUGACGAUUUUAUAUUGUAUGAGUUAUGUGAUUUGAUGACCGAAUGUUGUUCGGAGUCCCGAAUGAGAUCAUGGACAUGACGAGGAGUCUCGAAAUGGUCGAGAGGUAAAGAUUCAUAUAUAGGACGAUAGUAUUUGGACACGGGAAGUGUUCUGGGGGUAUCGGGUACGUAUCGGGUCACCGGAAAGGGGUUCCGGGCACCCUCGGCCAAGAUAUGGGCCUUAUUGGGCCUAGGAAGGGACAUACCAGCCCCUAGUGGGCUGGUGCGCCCCAUACAUGGCCGAAUAAGGUGGGGAAAUGAAAAGGGAGAGGAGAGGAAGUAACGGGGGCAAUUCGGCCUCCCCUUUCCUUCUCCCCCUCCUCUUUCCUUCUCCCUCCGGAAGACAUGGAAAGGGGGAUGCCGAAUAGGAUUAGGCCCCAAGUAGGAUUCCUCCUACUUGGGGUGCGCCUCCUGCUGCUCCCCCCUCCCACCUAUAUAUAUAUGUGGGGGGGGGGCACGCUAGAACACACCAAGUAUUCUCUUAGCCGUGUGCGGUGCCCCCCUCCAUGGUUACACACUUUGGUCAUAUCAUCGUAGUGCUUAGGUGAAGCCCUGCACCGGUAACAUCAUCAUCACCGUCGCCAUGCUGUCGUGCUGACGGAACUCUCCCUCGUCCUCAACUGGAUCAAGAGCUCGAGGGACGUCAUCGAGCUGAACGUGUGCUGAACGCGGAGGUGCCGUACUUCGGUGCUUGGAUCGGUUGGAUUGCGAAGACGCUCGACUACAUCAACCGCGUUACUAAACUCUUCCGCUUUCGGUCUACGAGGGUACGUGGACACACUCUCCCCGCUCGUUGCUAUGCAUCUCCUAGAUAGAUCUUGCGUGAUCGUAGGUAAAUUUUUUGAAAUACUGCGUUCCCCAACAGUGGCAUCCGAGGAAGGUCUAUGCGUAGAUGUUAUAUGCAUGAGUAGAACACAAAGAGUUGUGGGCGAUAAUAAUCAUACUGCUUACCAACAUGUCAUACUUUGAUUCGGCGAUAUUGUUGGAUGAAGCGGUUCAGAUCGACAUUACGCAUACGCUUACGCGAGACUAGUUCUACCGACGUGCUUCGCACACAGGUGGCUAUGUUGGGGAACAUAGUAAUUUCAAAAAAUUUCCUACACACACACAAGAUCAUGGUGAUGCAUAACAAUGAGAGGGAAGAGUGUUGUCUACGUACCCUCGUAGACCGUAAGCGGAAGCAUUAUGACAACGCGGUUGAUGUAGUUGUACGUCUUCACGGUCGACCGAUCCUAGCACCGAAGGUACGACACCUCCACGAUCUACACACAUUCGGCACGGUAACGUCCCGCGAACUCACGAUCCAGUAGAGCUUCAAGGGAGAGCUUCGUCAGCACGACGGCGUGAUGACGGUUAUGAUGUUGCUACCGAAACAGGGCUUCGUCUAAGCACCGCUACGAUAUGACCGAGGUGGAUUAUGGUGGAGGGGGGCACCGCACAUGGCUUGGAACAAUCAACUUGUGUGUUCUAGGGUGCCCCUGCCCCCGUAUAUAAAGGAGCAAGGGGGGAGGCCGGCCGACCCUAGUGGCACCCAAGGAGAGGAGGAAUCCUCCUCCUAGUAGGAGCAUGAUUCAUCCUUUUCUAGUCCUACUAGGAAGGAGGAAGAGGGAAGGAAAGAGUGGGAGAGGGAGAGGGAAAGAGGGGGCGUGCCCCCCUCCCCAAGUCCUAUUCGGACUCCCCUUGGGGGGAGGGAGGGGGGCGGCACCUCCUGGGCUGCUGCCCUCUCUCUCCUCUAAGGCCCACUAAGGCCCAAUACUCCCUCCGGGGGUUCCGGUAACCCCUUCGGCACUCCGAUUUUCUUCGAAAUCACCCGGAACACUUCCGGUGUCCGAAUAUAGCCGUCCAAUAUAUCGAUAUUUAUGUCUCGACCAUUUCGAGACUCCUCGUCAUGUCCGUGAUCACAUCCGGAACUCCGAACUACCUUCGGUAUAUAAAAACACAUAAACUCAUAAUACCGAUUGUCACCGAACGUUAAGCGUGCGGACCCUACGGGUUCGAGAACUAUGUAGACAUGACCGAGACUCAUCUUUGGUCAAUAACCAAUAGCGGAACCUGGAUGCUCAUAUUGGUUCCUACAUAUUCUAUGAAGAUCUUUAUCGGUCAAACCGCAUAACAACAUACGUUGUUCCCUUUGUCAUCGGUAUGUUACUUGCCCGAGAUUCGAUCGUCGGUAUCUCAAUACUUAGUUCAAUAUCGUUACCGGAAAGUCUCUUUACUCGUUCCGUAAUGCUACAUCCAGUAACUCACUCAUUAGCUACAUUGCUUGCAAGGCUUAUUGUGAUGUACAUUACCGAGAGGGCCUAGAGAUACCUCUCCGACAAUCAGAGUGACAAAUCCUAAUCUUGACCCAUGCCAACUCAACAAACACCAACGGAGACACAUGUAGAGCACCUUUAUAAUCACCCAGUUACGUUGUGACGUUUGGUAGCAUACAAAGUGUUCCUCCGGUAAUCGGGAGUUGCAUGAUCACAUAGUCAUAGGAACAUGUAUAGUUAUGGAGAAAGCAAUAGCAACAAACUAAACGAUCAUCGUGCUAAGCUAACGGAUGGGUCAAGUCAAUCACAUCAUUCUCUAAUGAUGUGAUCCCGUUAAUCAAAUGACAACCCAUGUCUAUGGUUAGGAAACAUAGCCAUCAUUGAUUGAACGAGCUAGUUAAGUAGAGGCAAACUAGUGACACUCUGUUUGUCUAUGUAUUCACACAUGUACUAAGUUUCCGGUUAAUACAAUUCUAGCAUGAAUAAUAAAGAUUUAUCAUGAUAUAAGGUAAUAUAAAUAACAACUUUAUUAUUGCCUCUAGGGCAUAUUUCUUUCAUGCUAGUGGGUGUCUAUUUCUCCAACUUUAGUCGAAUCGAGUGUGACUACGCCCGGUCCUUGUUGAAGGUUAAAACAACAAACUUGAUGAAAAAUCGUUGUGGUUUUGAUGCGUAGGUAAGAACGGUUCUUGCUAAGCCCGUAGCAGCCACGUAAAACUUGCAACAACAAAGUAAAUGACGUCUAACUUGUUUUUGCAGGGCAUGUUGUGAUGUGAUAUGAUCAAGACGUGAUUGUGAGAUGAUCAUGUUUUGUAACACAGUUGUCGGCAACUGGCAGGAGCCAUAUGGUUGUCGCUUUAUUGUAUGAAAUGCAAUCGCCAUGUAAUUGCUUUACUUUAUCACUAAGCGGUAGCGAUAGUCGUAGAAGCAAUAGUUGGUGAGACGACAAUGAUGCUUCGAUGGAGAUCAAGGUGUCAAGCCGGUGACGAUGGUGAUCAUGAUGGUGCUUUGGAGAUGGAGAUCAAAGGCACAAGAUGAUGAUGGCCAUAUCAUAUCACUUAUAAUGAUUGCAUGCGAUGUUUAUCCUUUAUGCAUCUUAUUUUGCUUAGUACGGCGGAAGCAUUAUAAGAUGAUCUCUCACUAAAUUUCAAGGUACAAGUGUUCUCCCUGAGUAUGCACCGUUGCUACAGUUCAUCGUGCCGAGACACCAUGUGAUGAUCAGGUGUGAUAAGCUCUACGUUCACAUAUAACGGGUGCAAGCCAGUUUUGCACACGCAAAGUACUCGGGUUAAACUUGACGAGCCUGGCAUAUGCAGAUAUGACCUCGGAACACUGAGACCGAACGGUCGAGCGUGAAUCAUAUAGUAGAUAUGAUCAACAUAGUGAUGUUCACCAUUGAAAACUACUCCAUCUCACGUGAUGAUCGGACAUGGUUUAGUUGAUAUGGAUCACGUGAUCACUUAGAUGAUUAGAGAGAUGUCUAUCUAAGUGGGAGUUCUUAAGUAAUAUGAUUAAUUGAACUUUAAUUUAUCAUGAACUUAGUCCUGACAGUAUUUGCAUAUCUAUGUUGUAGAUCAAUAGCUUGCGAUGUAGCUUCCAGUUUAUUUUUGAUAUGUUCCUAGAGAAAAUAAGUUGAAAGAUGAUAGUAGCAAUGAUGCUGACUUGGUCCGUGAUCUGAGGAUUAUCCUCAUUGCUGCAUAGAAGAAUUAUGUCCUUGAUGCACCGCUAAGUGACAAACCUAUUGUAGGAGCAGAUGCACAUGUUAUGAAAGUUUGAUAAAGCUCGGUAUGAUGACUACUUAAUAGUUUAGUGUACCAUGCUUUACGGCUUAGAACUGGGACUUCAAAAACGUUUUGAACGCCACAGAGCAUAUAAGAUGUUCUAAGAGUUGAAAUUGGUAUUUCAUACUCAUGCCCGUGUCGAGAGGUAUGAGACCUCUGACAGUACUUUGACUACAAGAUGGAGGAGAAUAACACAACCAAUGAGCAUGUGCUGAGAUUGUCUGGGUACUACAAUUGCUUGAAUCAAGUGUGAGUUAAUCUUUUAGAUAAGAUAGUAAUUGACAAAGUUCUCUAGUCACUAUCACCAAGUUACUAGAACUUAGUGAUGAACUAUAAUAUGCAAGGGAUGACGAAAGUAAUUCCCAAGCUCUUCGCGAUGCUCAAAUCGACGAAGGUAGAAAUCAAGAAAUAUCAUCAAGUGUUGAUGGUUAAAAAGACCACUAGUUUCAAGAAAAAGGCAAAGGGAAAGAAAAAGGAACUUCAAAGAAGAAUAGCAAGCAAGUUGCUGCUCCCAUGAAGAAGCCCAAAGCUAGACCCAAGCCUGGAACUGAGUGCUUCUACUGCAAAGGUAAUGAUCGCUAGAAGUGGAACUGCCCUAGAUACUUGGCGGAUAAGAAGAAUGACAAAGUGAACAAAAGUAUAUUUGAUAUACAUGUUAUUGAUGUGUACUUUAUUAGUGUUUAUAGCAACCCCUCAGUAUUUGAUAUUGGUUUAGUUGCUAAGAGUAGUAACUAAAAACAGGAGUUGCAGAAUGAACACAGACUAGUUAUGGACGAAGUGACGAUGUGCGUUGGAAAUGAUUCAAGGGUUGAUAAGAUCACCAUUGCACACUCCCUCUAUCCUCGAGAUUAGUGCUGAACCAAAAUAAAUGUUAUUUGGUAUUUGUGUUGAGCAUGAAUAUGAUUGAAUCAUGUUUAUUGCAAUACAGUUAUUCAUUUAAGUCAAAGAAUAAUUGUUGUUCUGUUUACAUGAAUAAAACCUUGUAUGGUCAUACACUUAAUAUAAAUGGUUUAUUGAAUCUCGAUCGUAAUGAUACACAUAUUCAUAAUAUUGAUGCCAAAAGAUGCAAAGUUGAUAAUGAUAGUGCAACAUAUUUGUGGCACCGUCGUUUAGGUCAUAUUGGUGUAAAGCGCAUGAAGAAACUCCGUGCUAAUGGGCUUUUGGAAUCACUUGAUGCUUGCGAACCAUGCCUCAUGGGCAAGAUGACUAAGACUCCGUUCUCUGAAACAAUGAAGCGGGCAACAGACUUAUUGAAAAUAAUACAUACUGAUGUAUGCGGUUCGAUGAGUGUUGAUACUCGCGGCGGGUAUCGUUAUUUUCUGACCUUCACAGAUGAUUUGAGCAGAUAUGGGUAUAUGUAUGAAAUAAGUCUGAAACAUUUAAAAAGUUUAAAGAAUUUCAGAGUGAAGUGGAAAAUCAUCGUAACAAGAAAAUAAAUACGAUCUGAUCGUGGAGGUGAAUAUUUGAGUUACGAGUUUGAUCUUCAUUUGAAACAAUGCGGAAUAGUUUCACAAACUCACGCCACCCGGAACACCACAGCGUAAUGGUGUGUCCGUACGUCGUAAUCGCACUUUAUUAGAUAUGAUGCGAUCUAUGAUGUCUCUUACCGAUUUACCACUAUCGUUUUGGGGUUAUGUAUUAGAGACAACUGCGGACUACAUAUGGAGAAAAAUGAGUGAAUCUACACUCUAAAAUACGUCUAUAUACAUCUGUAUGUAGCCCGUACUGAAAUCUCUAAAAAGUCUUAUAUUUAGAAACGGAGGGAGUAUAUGCCAGUCAUUUCAAUUUGAAAAGACCAACUUAAACUUGAUUAUUCGAUGUUAUCUGAACAAAAUAAAUGAAUACACUAACAUCAUUUAGUUUGGGGCACAAUGGUUAAUGUGGUUAUGAUAAUCUCAACAUUUUCUUCUUUUUGUUGCACUCACUUCCUCAAUGUGUGAGUUACCCUGAGGUGUAGAUAACCGCAAUAAAUUUCUCAUUGAUUGGCUAUAUGAUUUGUGCUGGCACUCACAUUCUAGUUUAUCAUGCAUCUCUUGGUGAGUGGAGGUUACCGUUGGCGGUCCACAACUGCUACGUUUUGUAUAGAUGCCCUCCAAACUAACAAUCAUGUCCGUAAGCUAGAUGUGAUAAGAUGGAGGAUCGCCUCCCCCAUAGUAUGUUUUCUUAACUACGAUCCAAGUCCCAGCCAUUUCCGCUACAUCUCUAGAAGCUAAUUAUGCUGCAUAGCUUUAUUCAAUGUAUUAACUUACUGACAGUAUCAGUAAGGACCAAACAUUUUUUUCUUUUGAAAUACAGUAGCUUAAAUGAGAGUCGAAAUAGCCUUCUGUAGUCAUACUGUAUUUCUGAUUUACAUUGGACUUAGUACUUUAGCUAAUUAUAUAAUUACUGGACUAAUAAUUUAAAUGGACAUAUUUUCAGGAUGCGCAAGGAGCCAAGUCAGAAGUUUACAGUAAGUUUCCUUUCACAUUUACUACAUUGGUUUUGAAGCACAUCAGUAUCAUUUAGGAAGUCACUCUUUACUUGUGCGAGCUUCUCUUGAAUUUCAAUGAAUCUGUUUAAUAUGACAGUGUACAAAAAAGCAGAAGAAGUCGACUUUGACUUCAGCUGGAGGUUUAGAUCAAUCAAUGGCAGGAGCAUUAUGCCGUCACUUAGGGAUCAGGAAAGAGGUACAUGUCUAGACUGUCCUUUUUAUUUUCACUGUUUGAUUAUUAGUGCUGAAGUUGACAUUCACAGGGCAAUGUGCAUAUGCUUCAACGAUGUCAUGUACUGAAUCCCUUUACAAGAGGAAGAAUGCGGUUGUGAGGAUUGGUAGUGAAACUUAUCUGUCAAAGGAGUUCGUUCUGAAUCUCUCGCUGGAUCAUCUUCAAGAUUUAGUCACUUCAUUUUGUGCAACAAAUCGAAUAAAAGGUUUCAACACGCUUGAUUACUGUCUCGAAAGGAUGGUAGCUCAGGGUGUCAUAACUGAAGAAGCCUAUAACAGUGCAAAAGUGAACUUUCAUGUAUGUUUUCUGAUAUUUUGUGCACUCAACAGACUCUGAACUAGUUUUCUUUUUGCCUAGUAGUUAUUGAUUGUACCUCCGUCCCAAAAUAAGUGUCGCUGAUUAGUACAAAACUUUUGUACUAAAUCUGUAACACUUAUUUUGGGACGGAGGGAGUACAUGUCAUUUGUAUACCCAACAUCCUCUGAACUAGUUUUCUUUUUGUCUUGAGUUGUUAUUGAUACAUGUCAUUUGUACAACCCAACAUGCUCUGAACAGUUUUUUGUUUCGUCUGAAGUAGUUAUUGAUACAUGUUAUUUGUACACCCAACAUUGUCUUGAACAGUGCAUGACCUAUAAUGGUUGUUCUAUUGCAGAGUUUCCAAAGAUAUCGCAUAAAGGAAUUUGAGAAACCCAACACUCCCAAUGAUAUCUACGACAUUCCUAAGGGGGCAACAUUCGAAACAAAUCCUGCAGGGCAGGUCUCUUCCCAUUGCGUGGUGAUUGUUGGUUACGGCAGGACAAGUGAUGGGCUGUCAUACUAUAUCUUUCAAAAUUCGUACGGUAAAAAGUGGGGAGACGAUGGUUUUGGCCGAGUAGCUUGUAGUUGUCUCGAAUAUCUGUACCGUGCUAGUGUUUAGGUUAUCGAGUACUGCAGGAUGGUGCUCAUGUUAAAAGUGACACUGAUAUAGAAUACCCACGCUUUUUGUAAAGCAGCCAUCUGACAGGAGUUCUUGACAGCCCUCAUACAUGUGGUUGUAGAUGUUUCAGUUAUCACAGAUUUGGAGCCUCACUGUAAUGUCAGAUGUACUGAUGGAGAGCAAUAGGAGUAUCUUAUAGCAGAGUUGGAGCCUCACUGUAAUGUCUGCUUAAUUGCAGAGAGCUGCAGAACUUAUGUCAGUCAGUUGAAUUUAGCAAUGCCUUGUCUUUCAUUUUUCUGUACAUUCUAGCUGGUGAUUCCCAUUAUUGUGUUGAAUUUUAUGGAGCGUCCAACAGACUAGCAGGCUUGGCUGGCAGUAGGAUUUUUUAGUUAAAGAAGAAAUUAGCUUGUAUAUGUAAGGAUUUAUUUUGCGCUGUUAGAUAUAUAAUCGUUCUGUUUCCGUGAGAUUAAUGUCUGCUGCUUAUUCGUAUAAUCAAGUAAGAACAAUCACUUGUUGCUCAAACUUUGCUAAAAAGAAAACCUGUAGCUCAAACUCCUCUGUAUCCUCCUUUUAAAUAAAAUUAGUAAACUUACAAAUAGAUGUUCGCAUUGGACAAUAUAAGACAUAAAUUACAACGAAAGAGGCGAAAGACCGUUGCAACUUACAAAGAUGUAGUAGCAUUAAUCCACACCCUUUGUUUUGAAGCGCUAAUCACUACCGACUUGAUAAUACAGUGUGAAUUUUUUUGUGAACAAUCACGCAUGUGUAUUACGUGGAAUUACGUAUGUGUGAAAAUUCAUAACCAUAUACUUCCACACAUGGCGUACAGAAAAAAGCCAAAACGUAUUUUUAGGAUGGGCCAAUUUCUUUUGUUUGGCCGAAUUUUUCUUUUUUGUACAGCCUACAAAAUACAAAAAAAUCAAAUGAUUUUCACAAGCCAGUGAAAAAAGAUGUUUCCAUGGAAUUCUUUUCAAAUUGUUUUGAAACUUGAAAAUAUGACUUUUCAUUUUUUUUAAAUACCGAGCUCCCUGGAGCUCGGCCUUCAUUGGCAUUUUCCGAUGGCCACUGCUAGGCGCCGGGGCACCGGCCCAAAUUUGGGCCAUCGCACCGCAGCCCCACGAUGCGUGCGCCUCGGGUCGCACGAUUCAGCGCUCCUCUCCCGCAUCAUCCCCUCCUUCUUCCUCCUGUCUGCCUUCUUCUCCUGCAUCAUCAAUCGGAAAAAGGGAGCGACUACCGGGCGUCGGGGAGAGAAAAGCUGCGGCGAGCGCCGGCGACCCUCGCUGUAUUCCCCUCGCCGGAGAUGAGAGCGCCGCCGCACACACAGGCUCGCCGCCAUUGCAGACCCGCCAUGGCUCCUAGGGCAGGCCAUGGUAUGGUCCUCAAGCUCCCGAAGCCGUGCGACCCGGCUGCGGCCGGGGAUGCUGGAACCGUCCAGUCCCGGUGCUUCGACCGACGAGCACCCAACCCCCUGCUACAACCCCCUGCGACCGACGGAUUCAGAGAAAGCUUCAACCAUGAAAAAAGCUACAACCGGCGUAGAAGAAAAAACUUCAAACAUGGAAAAAAGCUUCAAGCGACAUCAAGAAAAGAUUAAACCGGUGUGAAAAAAAUGUUUCGAUCGGAAUGGGAAAAAGCUUCAGCCAUGGCAGAAAAGCUUCAAACAUGGAAAAAAAGCUUCAAGCGGCAUCAAGAAAAGAUUCAACCGGUGUGGAAAAAAUGUUUCGAUCGGAAUGGGAAAAAGCUUCAGCCAUGGCAUAAAAGCUUCAUCCGGUGUGGAAAAAAGCUUCAAACAUGGAAAAAAAGCUUCAAGCGGCAUCAAGAAAAGAUUCAACCGGUGUGAAAAAAUGUUUCUGAAUGGGAAAAAGUUUCAGCCAUGGCAGAAAAGCUUCAUCCGGUGUGGAAAAAAGCUUCCACCAUGAAGCUGUCAAAAAACGAGUAUUAGUGAGAGCUACGUGGCGACGGCGAAAGCUGCAACGAUCGUUGAUGAGAGCUACAAGCGGCUAUGGAAAAAGCUUCAAUGGUUGCAGCUCUGGCAUGGUAGGUUGCAGCUCCGGCGUGGCUGGGUCCGGCAAGGCAGAGCUCCGGUGAGGCGGAUCCAAGCAGAUCUGGCCGAGGGCCGCUAGAUCGGCUGAUUCCCAUGGUCGUGGCACCCUGGGAGGCCUGCAGGCAGUGAUGGUAAACCAUGGCGGCAGGGCCUGAGAAGGAAGCAAAGAAGGAGCAAGGUGAAUGAGCGGCAAAGAAGAGAAAAAAAGGAAGGAGAAGGAUAGGAGGGAUGUAUGCGUGCGGGCUCUUUGACCGCGUGGCGCGUGUGUGGACGCGUGACCGGCCGAACGCUCGGCCGGUGCGCCGUUCCCUUUUCACACCAAGUAAGGAGAAUAUCUCGCACCAAGUAAAAUCUGAAAUACUGCGACUCCCAGUCCAGGUUUAAAAUACGCAAAUCAGGAGUUUCUUAGGACACAUCAUCCUAUACUCAUUCAGUUACAAUAAUUUAUUACGCCGAUUCGAGCAUAAUUUUAGUUAAUAUUAAAGAUACAUAUUACAAUAACAUGUCACAUGCAUCACCUGUUGCUACAACGGCACUUCUCUAAAAGGAACUUGCUUGUCAUAGACCUUCAGCAUAUAGUAGACCAAGACCAAACAGAUUAGUUGGUGGAUAGAUUCCUCUCAUCACAUAAAACAGUCAUCAUCACUGUCCAGCUCCUCCAAGUGAAAAAUCAUCUCAUUAUGUCCACCCAAGUAGCCACUGCCCGAGGGAUGCCUAAGCUCCUUUGCUCGAUCAUCGCACCCAAAACAAUGACCUUGUUGAUGCGUGGAAAAAUAUAUGUAUACAUUAGCACAUGAUAUGACUAACGGAAAAUCAUGGAGAUUCCACCAAGUAUAUAGUUACCAACUUACCAUAAUUGUUUUCUUCCAAAGGUGUGCAGAGAACAACAUCCUCUUCCUGUGUGCAGUCAGGUCGCAUCUCAGCAAAGAACAUAGUAUGUUUGCCAUCUGAACCUUUCACCAGAAAGUUGGAGUGCACAUAUAGUGCUGCGCAUCCAUCGACUUGAUUCCUCUCUUUCUCUUCCACAAAUUCCAACUCAGAGAGCUGAAAUAGAAGCGGUCGACACAUGUGAGUAUAACAGACCGGUCAGCAGUAAAUCGCAUGACUUGCAUGGAUGUUCUAGCCAACCAUGAGUAGUAAAAAUAAUGAACUACAACAGCAGUUUAGUUCCAUAAUAACUCAAACACACCUUAAUACGGGUCGUUAAGCAAAAAACGCAAGCAAACAUAAAUAUUUGAUUAUGAUUUAUUUUGGCAUACCUGAAUGUUGUUUCGCUUGGCAUACGUGUUGAGCGCUAUGACCAAGCCCUUGCGCUUACGCUCUUGUCUGCGUUUCAGCUGCUCAUCAGGGGACGGCGACUUGGGCCUGAGACUGAACUGACGUUUGGCGUCAGCUACCCACAGAUCACCAAACUCCUUGAGAGUAAUCGAUGAUGGUCUAGGAAUGGGACCAUCCCCUAUCUGCAGUCUGGCAGAGCCGUCACUGCAUGCAUGGACAUAGAGGAAUUAUGAUGUAAAAUCUAAGGCUUAUUUUGUUUGGUCUAAGAAGAAAAAAAAAUCACUGUAUGGAUACUAAUCUAUUGGCAUUCACCUUAUGUCAUAUGUUUCAUCAAGCUCUUGAUUGCAUCUUAAGUUCUUCAAAUAUUAUUGAUUCCUUCAUACUAGAUCAAAUGUGAAGUACGAUAUCCCCAAAGUUGCAUAUAUGAAUCCACACACACAAAAAAGUACUGUCUGCAUACGUACAUCCAAAAUUCUCCAGAAACACAACAGGUUGCGUUGGCGGACGAAAUGGCCACCGACCGAUCGACCACUCCUGCUUCAGAUCAGAUAUAAUUAACAGCAGGAAUAAGCGAAACCCCUUUGGGGGUGGCGGAUCCCCACCGGGUAAAUCACAAGGACGGCGGUACCUGUACUGUAACUGGAGCGAGAUAUGGAGAGGGCGGGUGGUGAGGAAGGAGGAGAUCGCCGGCGGUGAGAUCAAACCGCCUCCGCCGCCGACACCUAGAUGGAUUUCUCUGUUGCCUUUUCUUUCCUCUUUUUUUAUCUUUUUUUUGAGGGUUAGUUGUCUUAUCUAAAGGAAGAGGAAGACUUGUAGUAGUACUAUAAGAAGAUCCACGCUGGGUAGCCCAUCGGCCCAGCCCAGUUCGGUCUGCUUUUCCGAAAAGGCCUCGGCCUGGUGGAGUGGACUGGAGAACGCGUUUAGCGCUGGCAAAAACGGUUGCGACGGCUGUGCGCGGAAAUUUUGAUCAUUUCUUAAAUAUAGUAUAUGAUGAAUUUGUUUCCAAACACAUGUUUUGAAAAGAAAAUAGAUACGUGCUAAAUAUUUUUCAAAUACAUUGUGUUUUUCUAAAAUUUCAUGAUAUAUUUUUGAAACACAUCAACAUUUUUUAAAAUAUCACGUGAAUGAUUUUUUUGAAUUGUGAAAACAUGUUUUUUACAUUGUAUAACAUUUAAAAACUGCAUGAUUUUUUUAUGAAAUGUGUGAACGUUGUUUUGAAUGAUAUCCAUAUUUUUUAAAAUACACAGGAGAAUUUUUUUAAUACCGCAUGAACAUUUCUUGAACACGCAAUGAUAUAUUUUUAAUUUAAAUGGUAGUACCAUAUUUCAGAAAUGUAUUGCUUUAAAAAAAUACCUGUAACUAUUGACACCGAUAACAAUUACAGGUACACUGCUUUGGACCUAAGAUCCAAAAAAAGAUAAAAUAAUUCCUAUGACUAAGAAUCACAAUGAAACUUUUUGUAAACACCUUCUUCGCGGUAUCAAUCUCUGCUCAAAUAAAUACUCCAAAGACUUCGGUAAUGAGGCUGCAAUUAGACUGGAGGAACGAUGUUGUCAGCAUCAAGAAGGGCGUGGCUUCGCUGAAGCGUGGAGUCCAGACAACCCAGUUUGGGCCGGCCCACGGCCACUUCGCUCUUUUUUCCUUUUUCUGGUCUUUUCUUUUCUUAUUUUUCUGUUUCUAUUUCUUUUACUUUAUUUUCCAUUUUAUUAUUUUUUGUGUAUUAUAAAAAAUUCAUUGCAUAUUACAAUUUUUUCAUCAUAUAUUAAGAAAAUGUUCACAGUAUACUAAAAAAUGUCCAUCAUGCAUUAUAAAAAAGUUUACCGUAUAUUAGAAAUUGUUCAAAAAUUAUGCAAAUGUUCACUGUGUGUUUUGAAAUUUGUUCAACAUAUAUUACACAAAUGUUCAAUGUAUUAAAAAAUUGCUCAACGUAUAUUACAAUAUGUACAAUGCGUAUUCGAAAAUUGUUCAAUGUAUAUAAUCACGUUUUUUCAACAAUGUUCAUCGUAUAUAAAAAAGAUUCAUCGUGUAUUUUUACAAUGUUCAUUGUAUAUCAAGAAAAUUUCCAUCGGAUAUUAAGAAAAUGUUCAAUGUGUAUUUUUAAAAUAAAAACCGAACAAAAAACCGCCCGAUAUAGUAAACUGGAUGCUACAGUAUGGGCCGUUACAGUAAACCCGACGCGACACUCAAACCAACUAAAAACGGAGAGAAAAUGAAAUAAAAUAUCGCUCACAGGGAGAGUGGGCCGGCCAAGCGCGUGCGCCCGUGGGAAGUUCCCUCCUUUUGACGCACGCGGGCGUUACACAGCCACACAGGUGUUCUUGUCUAAGACGACGUGAAACAAAGCACUGCCCCCGGGUGGGUACGUAUGUGUGUACAGGUUCCGCCACAGAGAGGAGAAACAUUGGUCAAAAUUAUGAAGUAUAGUUUCAGCCAAAAGUUUGCAUGUGUUCUAUUUCUUUUUUGAGAUGUAAGUUCGUAUGUUUCUUUGCGAAAAGUUCUCUUCCAGCAGGGGAUGUUCUACUUGAGAGGAAUAUGGCCACGAUAAGUAGUUGUGCAGUUUGCGGGGAAGAUGAGUCAUGGCGUCACUCCCUGCUAGAGUGCACCAUGCAACGUUGUAGACGGAAACAAAAAAAUGUCUAUUGAAUAUUGAGUUGAAGUUGUAGAGCUUGAAGACUCAUGAAGCCACCACGGGCACCUCGGUAUAGAUGGGAACACCUCCUCUCACAGGAAGACAAUUCGCAUUAAUGAGACACCAAAACUUGAGGUCUGAUCUCUGGUGUGGCUGGGGUACCUCUUGUCGGAGUCAAUUUCGGUGAAUCUCGGAUAAGGGGUCCCGAUCUCUAGCCUAAGUACGAUGGUAGCAAGAGAUGCAAGGUUUUUUUAACCCAGGUUCAGGCUCUUUCGAAGAGAUAAUACUCUACAUUCCUGCUUUAGUUGUAGUGACUGGGGUGAAAUACAAAGUACAUGUGUUUCUACCACGAGAUUUUAUGUGUCCUCUAUGCGCCCUACCCCUGGUUUAUAUAGGCACCAAGGGGUCUAGGGUUACAGAUAUGUCAGCUACGUAUUUGGUAGAUCGUGGUGUAGAUGACUUUUGAUCUUGGAGUGCGCGCGCCAAGCCUUCGGGAAUCCAUCUUGUGUACUCCGUGGGUCGUUUGGGUGUGGCCUAUUAGUGAAUCGCCUGGGAGCUCCUUUGCCCGGCACACUGGUCGGGAGACGACGCGGUGAGUACACCAUUAGUAGCCCCUGAACCGGUCUUAGAAGUUAGGGACACUCCUCGGUUCUUUCUGUAAAGGCCUUGGCUUGGGGUGGAUUGUCUGGAGGCACGCCAUUUUGGGCCGGCCCACAGUCACGUCAUUCUUUCUUCAUUUUUCUGGUUUUUUCUUUUCUUAUUUUUCUGUUUCUGUUUCUUUUAUUUUGUUUUCCAUUUUUUUUAUUUUCAUGUAAUAUAAAAAGUUCAUUGUGUCUUACAACUUUUUUCAUCAUAUAUUAAGAAAAUGUUCACAACAUACUAUAAAAUGUCCGUCAUGCAUUAUAAAAAUGUUCAUAGUAUAUUAGAAACUGUUCAAAAAUUAUGCGAAUGUUCACUGUGGGCGUGUUUGGUUGCUCGUAUGCAGCCCAACCAGGCCCGCGCGGGAUGUGCGCGGCCUGUUUGGUUGCCUGGGCUGCAUGCGGUUUGUGGCCCGCACGGACCUUAAAGCAGCCCGCAGCUUGGCCCGGCGUCGGCAGUUUCUCGCGAGCCUGGCUGGGCGCGGCCAUGCGUGCGAGGUAGUUGCACGCCUCGGGCAGCGCGGGAGACGGAGGGGACGUCUCAUAACUCGCCCCCACUCUCUUCUCACCGCCCCAGUCGCACUGUUCCCACCGCUCCCUCUCUCCCUCACCGCCCCUCCCUCUCCUCUCCUCCGAUGGCUCCGCCUCGUCCACCGCCGCGCCGUCCUCUGACCCCCGUCGACCAGUGCAUCGCCAGCAUCCAGGAGCGCUGGCUGUCCGGGCUCCAGAACUCGGGCCGGGACCUAGCGUCGGCGCUGCGAGCGCCGUCCCCCAUCUGCUGCCGGCCACCACCAGCACCGGCCAAUGCGGUGCCGGCUGUUCCUGCUCCGCCGCUGAUUCCGGACCUCAUGGUCCAGGGCUCGGCGCCGGCGCCGUCGAGGGAGCUGCCGCUUGUUGGGACCCCAUUGGGCAGGGGGGUUUUCUUGACCCUCAUCCAAGAGUUUUCUCCUAUCGGUGGGCCGUCCUCCUCGACCUCCGGCGUGGCGAUGAGCACAGGGCCGAUGCCGCAGGCUGUCGCCAGGGACGGCCCCUCCUCUGCUCCGCCACCUCUCUCCUUCCCUUCGGGGUUUUCACCCCGGCCUCGGUUCGCUGCGACUGCGCGUGCUCCGGUGAGUCAAACCCCCUAAAUGCUUGCUCGUAGAUGUAGAUUAGGGGUUUAUUUCUUAGGCAUGUGCUAGUAGUUAGUGGAUUCGACAGGAUUAGAUAGGAUUCGAGUAGAUCCGAUUGGAUGCGAUCCCAAUCGAAUCCAAUCGGACCGAUCUAUUCUUGUUUCGUAUAGUGUGUGUCCUAGGAUAAUUUUCUUCUGCUACUGCUAGUGUGUCCUAGGAUCUGUGUUCAUGGGCAGAAAACACAUAUUUGACCUGUGGACAAAAACAAUUCAAAAUUUGAACUGCUUUAAAAAAAAAUUCACGCUGCUGACCCUUUCGAGUGGCGCCCGACAGCAAGGCGCCGCACCCUACUGUGCAGCGCCUUUGUCUAAGGCGUCGCAUAUUUAGCCAACAUGGCAGCCCGGGCCCAGGCGCGGCCCCACAGACAGCAGUGCAGCGCCUAUCUCUUGGGCGCCACACUUGUAAUGUGCAACACCUUGCCCUUAGGCGCUGCACUGUCUGUUUGCCACUUUGGCUGGCCCCACCCCCUCACCCCACCCGAGACACCCCCACCCCACCCACAAGCUGAAGCAAAGGGCCCCUCUCUCUCCCCUUUCCCCCCUCUCCUCCUCUCAAAUCCUUCUNNNNNNNNNNNNNNNNNNNNNNNNNNNNNNNNNNNNNNNNNNNNNNNNNNNNNNNNNNNNNNNNNNNNNNNNNNNNNNNNNNNNNNNNNNNNNNNNNNNNNNNNNNNNNNNNNNNNNNNNNNNNNNNNNNNNNNNNNNNNNNNNNNNNNNNNNNNNNNNNNNNNNNNNNNNNNNNNNNNNNNNNNNNNNNNNNNNNNNNNNNNNNNNNNNNNNNNNNNNNNNNNNNNNNNNNNNNNNNNNNNNNNNNNNNNNNNNNNNNNNNNNNNNNNNNNNNNNNNNNUUAAGGUAAUCUCCUCCGAUCCCCUUGUUAUCAUCCAUAGGAAUUGUCACAUUUGCUCAAAUCUGGCUAGUUUGGGGAAACCCUAGUUUUGGCUUGGAUUUGGAAAUUUGUCUUCAAACAUGUUAUGUUUCUUUGCUAAUUUGGUAGGGUUAGGUUACAUACUAUGCUAGCGUUAGGGUUAUGUGUGUUUUUAUGUUGGGGUUAGGGUUAUGCUAUUGUCAGGGUUGUUGUUAUUGUUAAGUGGGGGUUAGGGUUGUUGUUUCAUAUCUAUGUUAGGGCUUAUGUAUUUUGUGCAAAUACUUGGUUAAGUACUUACUUGAUAUAUGUGUGUUUUUUACUAUUGUAGGGAUGGGAAGAACAUGUGUUUAUGUUCAUCAUGUGGAUAAAGAGGCCUUUUUGAAAGGCAAUGUUGAGCCGGACCCGGAUGAGCUCGACAUGGUGUUUGAGAGUAGUCCUAGCUAUGCGGAGCUCUUGGAACAAGUGAGGAAGGAUUUGAAUUGGAUGGACCCAAGUGACAUUGUUGAGUUCGAGGGAAGGCAUAAUGUUGGUUUUGGAAUGCACAUCCUUUGGAAGACAAUGCGUGUGAACUCCGAGCAACGUUGGGUUGCAUACAAGGAGGCGCUCGCCGAAUCUCUAGACAAGGCUCUUGAGUUAUUUGCCUCCAAGAAGGUUGAGCCUACUUUGCAUUUGGACUUGAACCGGAACCCCUCCCCGUUGGUUGCUAGCACUCCCCCACCCAUGAACCAAGAUCAAAUGAGUGAACCUCAUUUCACGCAACAAGAUUGGCCAACAUUGAGCCCGACUCCAAACAACCAAAAUGAAGCUUUUGAAGAGGAGAAUGAUGAGUACGAGGAGGAUGACAACGAAGUUGAUCUCCAUGACAACAAUGUGGGUGAUCUCGACCAAUAUCAUAUGCAAGAGACAAUGGACCAAUCCAUCCCUUUUUCCCGUGCAUAUGCAUCAGAGUCGGAUGACGAUGGUCCCAAUGAAGAAGUUGAUGAGGAGGGGUUCACGCCGAAGGAGGCCCAAGCAUUCAAGAAGGUAUUCGGGCGGGAUCACAAGACACCAUUGUUCAAGGAUCUUAGUCUCGCGGAUGCAGCUGUUGUGGAUGGUGGCAAAUGCAUAUCUCUUGGAGCUAGGCCAAGUUCUCACCGUGAUUUGGAAGAUGGCAAGAACGAGAGAUUUCCCGGUUGUGAGUUUGAUUCUUUCUUGGAAUUGAAGAUGUGGCUCGACAACUACUCGGUUACGCAUUAUCGUCCACAUAGAGUGGCCAACUCGGACGUCAAUGUGUGUUACACGAUUAAGUGUGAAGUGCCAAGAUGUCCAUGGAUUGUGCGUGCAAGGCCAUGGUAAGGAGGUCCCACUUGGUGCAUAGUGAGUUGUCUACCAACUCACAUGUGCCGUCACAAGAAUGCAGAUGGCGAGCUUGUGUACCAACAACACAGACAACUCACGUCCGAGUUCAUCGCUUACAGGCUUUCCAACCAAAUAUCCACACUUCCAACAAUGAGCAUUAAGAGUGUCAUUGACAUUGUGAAAGCCAUCUUUCAUUACAAGAUCAAGUACGACAAGGCAUGGAAGGCGAAGCAAGCCGCAUUCAAGAUGUUAUAUGGCAAUUGGGAGGAAGCAUACAACCGACUCCCUAGGUUGUUGUUAGCUAUGGCCGCCACAAACCCAGGCAUGGCUCAUGUGGUCGAGCCUCAUGGGCACCAAACAUUGAUUCACAACGGGAGGACCGUGCGAGUAUUUGGCCGUGCAUUAUGGGCCUUUGAGCAAUGCGUGAGGGCUUUUGAGCAUUGUCGGCCCAUCAUCGCCAUUGAUGGCACGUUCUUGACCGGACAAUACAAGGGCACUCUGUUGGUUGCAAUAACAAGUGAUGCCAAUAACCGGGUGUUGCCUUUGGCUUUCGCUUUGGUUGAGGUGGAGAACAAUGAUAACUGGGAGUGGUUCUUGCGUCAAUUGAGAUCAAGGGUAUUACCGGCUGAAAGGGAAAUUUGUGUCAUAUCAGAUCACCAUCCAGGAAUUCUAAACAUGGUUGUGGUUGACAUUCCCAGACAUACAAAGUUGCACCAUCGAUGGUGCAUGAGGCACUUUUGUGCAAACUUCUAUAGGGCAUGUGGUAUCAAGGAGUUGGCCGAUCAUCUUCAAGAUUGUUGUCUCGCUUUCUUCGACAAGCGGUUUGCCACAUUGUUCAAUGCAUUGCUCAGACACAAGAAACUUGACCCCGGUGGUCUUGAAUUUCUCAAUAGGAACAUUGUCGAAAGGAAUAUGUGGGCACGUGCUUUCGAUGAAGAUGGCUGGAGGUACGGUCAAAUGACAAGCAACAUGGCAGAAUGCUUCAAUAAGGUGCUCAAGGGUGUACGUGCAUUACCCGUGACGGCAAUAGUUCAAUACACCUUUGACAAGAUGAAUGCGUACUUUUUAAAGUACUCAAUGGAGACGAGUAAGCAGAUUGCUGGUGAGAACAAGGAAAAGCACAAGUAUAAUUUCCCACCAAAGGUGAAGAAUGGUUGGAAUUUCAAUCACGAAAGGCAGACUCCCAAGAAGCUGUUCUAUAUGACGACAACGAGUGGAAGUAUGAAGUGAAAGAGCCUGGAGGAACCUCAAACGAUGGCCACCAACACGGAGGCCGCGCGUUCAAGGUCUCCCUAACACGGUGUGAUUGCAGCUGCAUGAGGCCAUCGUUGCUUCAUCUUCCAUGCUUGCACUUGUUAAACACAACCCAUGUUAGGAAUGUUGACGUCAAUCACCCUCUUACUGUGCGGGAGUCCGAGUUAUCAAUCAUGACGGUAAAGAAUACAUGGGCUCCCCGGUUUGAGUCGUACUUGGACCAAUCACAAUGGCCGGAGUAUCAUGGAGUUCAACUAUGGCCGGACCCAUAAUUGAAGGUCGUUAGACGGGGAAGACGUAAGACAAAGCGUCUUAGAGGUGACAUGGACGGAUGGGGCCGCGGUGGCGGUGGAGAAUACAGCACCGACCAAUUCCAAGAGCCUCGUGAGCAAUCCUAUUGUGGGGACUGCAGUCAUGGGGGACACAACAUAAGAACUUUUCCCAAACCAAGAAAGAGAUCAAAGAAAAAUGAUGGAAGCACAAGCCAAGCAAAUGAUGGCCAACCAAGGAGUAGCCAACCAAGUCAAACAAGUGCCCAAUUGCCAAACCAAUCAAGUCAAACAAGCCAACGAGGAACUAGGCAACAAAGAGGGACUCAACUAGGUCUUAGAAGAGGCCGUGGUGAUGGUCUUGGCCGUGCUGGUGGUAGAGGCCGUGGUGAUGGUCUUGGCCUUGGUGGUGGUAGAGGCCGUGGUGAUGGUCUUGGCCUUGGUCAAGGUCUAGGCCAUGGUGAUGGUGUUGGUCGUGGUGGUGGUGGUAGAGGCCGUGGUGAUGGUCUUGGCCUUGGUCAAGGUCUAGGCCGUGGUGGUGGUGUUGGCCGUGGUGGUGGUAGAGGCCGCGGUGGUGGUCUAGGCCGUGGUGGUGGUAGAGGCCAUGGUGAUCUUGGCCUUGGCGGCCGCCGUAGUGGAGGAAUGUUCACUUGGUUCAACGGACCAUUGCCGUAUGUGACUUACUAUGAUCUUGUUAUUUUGGCUCAAUGUUUGUGUUGUCAUUUUGCAUUGUGUGACUAACUAUUACAUUUCCAUUUUCGUAGGUAUGGAAACAAUGAAGGGGGUGGAGGACACGGAGGGGAAAGGUGAGAUUCCUUAGUGGUGGGAGGAGGAAGAAGAAGAAGAAGAGAGGAAGAAGAAGAAGAAGGGACAUUGCUAUGAGUCCUAAAUGUGUGAUACUAUGUGCUAUGAGUCCUAAAUGACUAUGUGUUUUGGCUCAAUGUUUGUGUUGCAUUGUGUAUGACUAUGUGAUUGGGCUACUCAAUGUGCUAUGUGUGUAUGACUAUGUGAUUUGGACCACUCUAUGUGCUAUGUCUUCUUUCUGUGUUUUGGACUACUACAUGUGAUUUGGAUAUGAUUAUGUGCCAUCUAUGUGAACCACAAAACAUAAACAUCACUUGGUAUUUGAAAACAACAGAUGAUGCAGCGCCCAGCUCCUGAGCGUCACACAAUAUAGUGCAGCGCCUUACACAUGGGCACUACACACUGACUUAGCGAUUUUUGGGCUGGAAAGUUACUCGAAGUGUUCUGUUGCUCUCUGGACUGGCAUGUCCAGUCGUGCAGCACCCAUGGGAGAGGCGCUGCACUAUUUAGUGUGGCGCCUAGGCCUUGGGCGCUGCACACCUGGACAUGCCAGUCUAGAGAGCAACAGAGCAGUUCCCGUAGCUUUUGCACCCCAAAAAUUGCUAAGUCAGAGUGCAGUGCCUACGGGCAAGGCACCACACUAGACAGUGCAGCGCCCGACAGCUGGGCGCUGCACUGUCUAGUGUGGNNNNNNNNNNNNNNNNNNNNNNNNNNNNNNNNNNNNNNNNNNNNNNNNNNNNNNNNNNNNNNNNNNNNNNNNNNNNNNNNNNNNNNNNNNNNNNNNNNNNNNNNNNNNNNNNNNNNNNNNNNNNNNNNNNNNNNNNNNNNNNNNNNNNNNNNNNNNNNNNNNNNNNNNNNNNNNNNNNNNNNNNNNNNNNNNNNNNNNNNNNNNNNNNNNNNNNNNNNNNNNNNNNNNNNNNNNNNNNNNNNNNNNNNNNNNNNNNNNNNNNNNNNNNNNNNNNNNNNNNNNNNNNNNNNNNNNNNNNNNNNNNNNNNNNNNNNNNNNNNNNNNNNNNNNNNNNNNNNNNNNNNNNNNNNNNNNNNNNNNNNNNNNNNNNNNNNNNNNNNNNNNNNNNNNNNNNNNNNNNNNNNNNNNNNNNNNNNNNNNNNNNNNNNNNNNNNNNNNNNNNNNNACCCCACACACCGCACCCCCCACACAAACCUGAAGCUCAGUGCCUCCCCUCUGCCCUCCUCUCUCCCCCUCUCAAAUCCUUCUCAGAUCCGGAGAUAUUGUCCGUGGAUAUCGAAGCCAACCCCUCCCUUAAGGUAAUCUCAUCCGAUCCCCUCAUUUUCAUCAAUAGGAAUUGUCACAUUUGAUCAAAUCUUGCUACUUUGGGGAAACCCUACUUUUGGCUUGGAUUUGGAAAUGUGUGUUGAAUCAUGUUAUGUUUCUUUGCUAAUUAGGUAUGGUUAGGCUUCAAACUAUGGUAGGGUUAGGGUUAUGUGUGUUUGAUUUUGGUGUUAGGGUUAUGGUUAUUGUUAAGUGGGGGUUAGGGUUAACCAAGAAUUCUCAGUUUUGUAGGCAUGGCUUCAUCCGGUUCCAUGACGAGGCCACUGUGUGCUAACCAAGAAGACAUGCCGAACAAGUGGGAGGACGCAUCUUUGGACAAGGUGAAGGAGAAAGAUGUCAACAUCCCGCCAUGUUGGUGUGGAGAUGUUUGCAAGGUGAAGGUGUCCACCGACCGAAAGAAAUCAUGGACGGAAGGGCGGAGAUAUUUUGUAUGCCCGAACUAUGCUUAUGAUCGUGCACUUCCAACUAACGCCUAUGACCAACCAUCGGUAAGCUCAAGAAGUAAAAUGUUACUCUCAAAUGUGUGUCAACACUAACAAAAAAUUUGUAUGCAGUCACCGCCUCCUCUAUGCAAGUACUUCACAUGGAUAGAUCUUGAAGUGCCAGAAGAUGUCCAAAAGGACCAAUACCAAGAUUGUCUUAGGCGGCAACGGUGGUUCGAAGAAUCGUUUCAAAGAGGCUUGGAGGAAGAGUGUCGUCAGAAGGAGAGGAUGGAGCGAAAGAAACGAGAGGAGGAGAGGGCGCGCCAAGCGAAACUUGCUCGUGAGGAGGAGAGGGCAAGAAAGCUUUCAAAGGCUUGCGAGGCGCAAGAGGAGGACUCGGCAUGUGACAAGAAGGGGAAAUGGCCUCUCUCUACUCAGUAGGGACUUCGCUUCGGUGCACUCAUCGUCAACUAUCUUCUAAUGAAUGUGUCGUGAACUUGUGAGGUUAUGUGAGAUGUUGGUGAACUUUCUUCUAGGGCAAGCUGCCAUUUGUCAUUUGUAAUGAAUGUCUCGUGAACCAUGUGUUUGUUCUUAAGUUAUGAACUCAUCGGCAUAAAAUUUGUGUUUGUUCAAAUUGUUGUGAUGCUCCAGUGAUUGUAAGUAUUAUGAUGUUCCCGUGAAUUGAAAUUGCUGUAAACUCUGUUUUUCGAGUAAACAGCAGUGCAACGCCCAGAACAUAGGCGCUGCACACUAUGGUACAACACCCAAGGGAAAGGCGUCGCACAGUAAAGUGCAGCGCCAGUGGCACACUGGCUUAGCAAUUUUCGUGUAUGGUCAGUGUUGCAAGUCUUCUAUGGUUCUCUGGAUAGCCAUGCCCAGUUGUGCAGCACCUAGGGGACGGGCGCUGCACUGUAUAGUGCAGCGCCUCAGCGUUGGGCGCUGCACACUACAGUGCAGCGCCUCACUGUUGGGCGCUGCAGUGCUGUUAACUGCUAAACUGCAGAAACAGAUGCCAUUUUAGCUACAAACUGAACUCACAAGUACAUCACAUAAUUUGGCUGCAAACUGAACUCAAAAAGAGAACUAAUAAUUUGAACAUCACAUAAUUUAGGACAAUUCACCAUCACUACAAGUGUUGGAAAUAUGCCCUAGAGGCAAUAAUAAAAGGAUUAUUAUUAUAUUUCCUUGUUCAUGAUAAUUGUCUUUUAUUCAUGCUAUAAUUGUGUUAUCCGGAAAUCGUAAUACAUGUGUGAAUACAUAGACACCAACAUGUCCCUAGUAAGCCUCUAGUUGACUAGCUCGUUGAUCAAUAGAUAGUCAUGGUUUCCUGACUAUGGACAUUGGAUGUCAUUGAUAACGAGAUCACAUCAUUAGGAGAAUGAUGUGAUGGACAAGACCCAAUCCUAAACUUAGCACAAGAUCAUAUAGUUCGUUUGCUAGAGUUUUUCCAAUGUCAAGUAUCUUUUCCUUAGACCAUGAGAUCGUGUAACUCCCGGAUGCCGUAGGAGUGCUUUGGGUGUACCAAACGUCACAACGUAACUGGGUGACUAUAAAGGUAUACUACGGGUAUCUCCAAAAGUGUCUGUUGGGUUGACACGGAUCAAGACUGAGAUUUGUCACUCCGUAUAACGGAGAGGUAUCUCUGGGCCCACUCGGUAAUGCAUCAUCAUAAUGAGCUCAAAGUGACCAAGUGUCUGGUCACGGGAUCAUGCAUUACGGUACGAGUAAAGUGACUUGCCGGUAACGAGAUUGAACGAGGUAUUGGGAUACCGACGAUCGAAUCUCGGGCAAGUAACGUACCGAUUGACAAAGGGAAUUGUAUACGGGGUUGCGUGAAUCCUCGACAUCGUGGUUCAUCCGAUGAGAUCAUCGAGGAGCAUGUGGGAGCUAACAUGGGUAUCCAGAUCCCGCUGUUGGUUAUUGACCAGAGAGCUAUCUCGGUCAUAUCUACAUGUCUCCCGAACCCGUAGGGUCUACACACUUAAGGUUCGGUGACGCUAGGGUUGUAGAGAUAUGAAUAUGCAGUAACCCGAAAGUUGUUCGGAGUCCCGGAUGAGAUCCCGGACGUCAUGAGGAGUUCCGGAAUGGUCCGGAGGUGAAGAAUUAUAUAUAUGAAGUGCAGUUUCGUCCAUCGGGAGAGUUUCGGGGGUCAGCGGUAUUGUACCGGUACCACCGGAAGGGUCCCGGGGGUCCACCGGGUGGGGCCACCCAUCCCGGAGGGCCCCAUGGGCUGAAGUGAGGAGGGGAACCAGCCCAUAGUGGGCUGGUGCGCCCCCUUGGCCCACCCCCUGCGCCUAGGGUUGGAAACCCUAGGGUGGGGGGCGCCCCCCCACUUGCCUUGGGGGCUACUCCACCCUUGGCCGCCGCCCCCCUAGGAGAUGCCAUCUCCUAGGGCCGGCGCCCCCCUAGGGGAGCCUAUAUAAAGGGGGGGAGGGAGGGGUAGCCGCACCCUUGAGUCUUGGCGCCUCCCUCUCCCCUGCUACACCUCUCCCUCUCGUAGUAGAACGGCGAAGCCCUGCUGCGGUGACCCCUGCAUCCACCACCACGCCGUCGUGCUGCUGGAUCUUCAUCAACCUCUCCUCCCCCUUGCUGGAUCAAGAAGGAGGAGACGCCACGCUGACCGUACGUGUGUUGAACGCGGAGGUGCCGUCCGUUCGGCGCUAGGAUCUCCGGUGAUUUGGAUCACGUCGAGUACGACUUCCUCAUCCCCGUUCUUUGAACGCUUCCGCGCGUGAUCUACAAAGGUAUGUAGAUGCAAUCCGAUCACUCGUUGCUAGAUGAACUCAUAGAUGGAUCUUGGUGAAACCGUAGGAAAUUUUUUGUUUUCUGCAACGUUCCCCAACAGUGGCAUCAUGAGCUAGGUCUAUGCGUAGUUCUCUUUGCACGAGUAGAACACAAUUUGUUGUGGGCGUAGAUGUUGUCAACUUUCUUGCCGCUACUAGUCUUAUCUUGCUUCAACAGUAUUGUGGGAUGAAGCGGCCCGGACCAACCUUACACGUACGCUUACGUGAGACCGGUUCCACCGACUGACAUGCACUAGUUGCAUAAGGUGGCUGGCGGGUGUCUGUCUCUCCCACUUUAGUUGGAGAGGAUUCAAUGAAAAGGGUCCUUAUGAAGGGUAAAUAGAAGUUGACAAAUCACGCUGAGAAAACAUUCUUGCUAGAACCCUAUUGCAGCCACGUAAAACUUGCAACAACAAUUAGAGGACGUCUAACUUGUUUUUGCAGCAAGUGUUUUGUGAUGUGAUAUGGCCAAAGUUGUGAUGAAUGAUGAAUGAUAUAUAUGUGAUGUAUGAGAUGUUCAUGCUAUUGUAAUAGGAAUCACAACUUGCAUGUCGAUGAGUAUGACAACCGGCAGGAGCCAUAGGAGUUGUCUUUAUUUUUUGUAUGACCCGCGUGUCAUUGAGAAACACCAUGUAAAUUACUUUACUUUAUUGCUAAACGUGUUAGCCAUAGUAGUAGAAGUAAUAGUUGGCGAGCAACUUCAUGGAGACACGAUGACGGAGAUCAUGAUGAUGGAGAUCAUGGUGUCAUGCCGGUGACAAGAUGAUCAUGGAGCCCCAAGAUGGAGAUCAAAGGAGCUAUGUGAUAUUGGCCAUAUCAUGUCACUAUUAUUAUUUGAUUGCAUGUGAUGUUUAUCAUGUUUUUGCAUCUUGUUUACUUAGAACGACGGUAGUAAAUAAGAUGAUCCCUCAUAAUAAUUUCAAGAAAGUGUUCCCCCUAACUGUGCACCGUUGCGACAAUUCGUUGUUUCGAAGCACCACGUGAUGAUCGGGUGUUAGAUUCCAAAGUUCACAUACAACGGGUGUAAGACAGAUUUACACAUGCAAACACUUAGGUUGACUUGACGAGCCUAGCAUGUACAGACAUGGCCUUGGAACACAGAAGACCGAAAGGUCGAGCAUGAGUCGUAUAGAAGAUACGAUCAACAUGAAAAUGUUCACCGAUGUUGGCUAGUCCGUCUCACAUGAUGAUCGGACACGGCCUAGUUAACUCGGAUCAUGUUAUACUUAGAUGACUGGAGGGAUGUCUAUCUGAGUGGGAGUUCAUUGAAUAAUUUGAUUUUGAUGAACUUAAUUAUCAUGAACUUAGUCUAAAAUCUUUACAACAUGUAUUGUAGAUCAAAUGGCCAACAUUGUCCUCAACUUCAACGCGUUCCUAGAGAAAACCAAGCUGAAAGACGAUGGCAGCAACUAUACGGACUGGGUCCGAAACCUGAGGAUCAUCCUCAUAGCUGCCAAGAAAGAUUAUGUCCUACAAGCACCGAUAGGUGAUGCACCUGUUCUCCCUGCAGAACAAGACGUUAUGAACGCUUGGCAGACACGUACCGAUGAUUACUCCCUCGUUCAGUGUGGCAUGCUUUACAGCUUAGAACCGGGGCUCCAAAAGCGUUUUGAGAGACACGGAGCAUAUGAGAUGUUCGAAGAGCUGAAAAUGGUUUUUCAAGCUCAUGCCCGGGUCGAGAGAUAUGAAGUCUCCGACAAGUUCUUCAGCUGUAAGAUGGAGGAAAAUAGUUCUGUCAGUGAGCACAUACUCACUAUGUCAGGGUUACAUAACCGCUUGACUCAGCUGGGAGUUAAUCUCCCGGAUGACGCGGUCAUUGACAGAAUCCUUCAGUCGCUUCCACCGAGCUACAAGAGCUUUGUGAUGAACUUCAAUAUGCAGGGGAUGGAAAAGACCAUUCCUGAAGUAUUUGCAAUGCUGGAAUCAGCAGAGGUAGAAGUCAAAAAGGAACAUCAAGUGUUGAUGGUGAAUAAAACCACUAAGUUCAAGAAAGGCAAGGGUAAGAAAAACUUCAAGAAGGACGGCAAGGGAGUUGCCGCGCCCGGCAAGCAAGCUGCCGGGAAGAAGCCAAAGAAUGGACCCAAGCCCGAGACUGAGUGCUUUUAUUGCAAGGAAAGUGGUCACUGGAAGCGGAACUGCCCCAAAUACUUAGCGGACAAGAAGGCCGGCAAAACGAAAGGUAUAUGUGAUAUACAUGUAAUUGAUGUGUACCUUACCAGUACUCGUAGUAGCUCCUGGGUAUUUGAUACCGGUGCAGUUGCUCACAUUUGUAACUCAAAGCAGGAGCUGCAGAAUAAGCGAAGACUGGCGAAGGACGAGGUAACGAUGCGCGUCGGGAAUGGUUCCAAGGUCAAUGUGAUCGCCAUCGGCACGCUACCUCUACAUUUACCUACGGGAUUAGUUUUAAACCUCAAUAAUUGUUAUUUAGUGCCAGCUUUGAGCAUGAACAUUGUAUCAGGAUCUCGUUUAAUUCGAGAUGGCUACUCAUUUAAAUCCGAGAAUAAUGGUUGUUCUAUUUAUAUGAGAGAUAUGUUUUAUGGUCAUGCCCCGCUGGUGAAUGGUUUAUUCUUAAUGAAUCUCGAGCGUAAUGUUACACAUAUUCAUAGUGGGACUACCAAAAGAUGUAAGGUUGAUAAUGAUAGUCCCACAUACUUGUGGCACUGCCGCCUUGGUCACAUAGGUGUCAAACGCAUGAAGAAGCUCCAUGCAGAUGGACUUUUGGAGGCUCUUGAUUACGAAUCAUUUGACACAUGCGAACCAUGCCUCAUGGGUAAAAUGACCAAGACUCCGUUCUCAGGAACAAUGGAGCGAGCAACCAACUAAUUGGAAAUCAUACAUACUGAUGUGUGCGGUCCAAUGAGUGUUGAGGCUCACGGUGGUUAUCGUUAUGUUCUCACCCUCACUGAUGACUUGAGUAGAUAUGGGUAUGUCUACUUAAUGAAACACAAGUCUGAGACCUUUGAAAGGUUCAAGGAAUUUCAGAGUGAGGUUGAGAAUCAACGUGACAGGAAAAUCAAGUUCCUGCGAUCAGAUCGUGGAGGAGAAUACUUGAGUCACGAAUUUGGCACACACUUAAGAAAAUGUGGAAUAGUUUCACAACUCAUGCCGCCUGGAACACCUCAGCGUAAUGGUGUGUCCGAACGUCGUAAUCGCACUCUAUUGGAUAUGGUGCGAUCUAUGAUGUCUCUUACCGAUUUACCGCUAUCAUUUUGGGGCUAUGCUUUAGAGACUGCCGCAUUCACUUUAAAUAGGGCUCCGUCGAAAUCCGUUGAGACGACACCCUAUGAAUUAUGGUUUGGGAAGAAACCUAAGCUGUCGUUUCUAAAAGUUUGGGGAUGCGAUGCUUAUGUCAAGAAACUUCAACCUGAAAAGCUCGAACCCAAGUCGGAAAAAUGCGUCUUCAUAGGAUACCCUAAAGAAACUAUUGGGUAUACCUUCUACCUCAGAUCCGAAGGCAAGAUCUUUGUUGCCAAGAAUGGAUCCUUUCUAGAGAAGGAGUUUCUCUCGAAAGAACUAAGUGGGAGGAAAGUAGAACUUGAUGAAGUAUUACCUCUUGAACCGGAAAAUGGCGCAACUCAAGAAAAUGUUCCUGAGGUGCUUGCACCGACUAGAGAGGAAGUUAAUGAUGAUGAUCAUGAAACUUCAGAUCAAGUUGCUACUGAACUUCGUAGGUCCACAAGGACACAUUCCGCACCAGAGUGGUACGGCAACCCUGUCUUGGAAAUCAUGUUGUUAGACAACGGUGAACCUUCGAACUAUGAAGAAGCGAUGGCGGGCCCGGAUUCCGACAAAUGGCUGGAAGCCAUGAAAUCCGAGAUAGGAUCCAUGUAUGAAAAUGAAGUAUGGACUUUGACUGACUUGCCCGUUGAGCGGCGAGCCAAAGAAAAUAAAUGUAUCUUUAAGAAGAAGACAUACGCGGAUGGUAAUGUGACCAUCUAUAAAGCUCGGCUUGUCGCUAAGGGUUAUCGACAAGUUCAAGGGGUUGACUACGAUGAGACUUUCUCACCGGUAGCGAAGCUGAAGUCCAUCCGAAUCAUGUUAGCAAUUGCCGCAUUCUAUGAUUAUGAGAUAUGGAAAAUGGACAUCAAAACGGCAUUCCUUAAUGGUUUCCUUAAGGAAGAAUUGUAUAUGAUGCAGCCGGAAGGUUUUGUCGAUCCUAAGAAUGCUGACAAGGUGUGCAAGCUCCAACGCUCGAUUUAUGGGCUGGUGCAAGCAUCUCGGAGUUGGAACAUUCGCUUUGAUGAGAUGAUCAAAGCGUUUGGGUUUAUGCAGACUUAUGGAGAAGCCUGCGUUUACAAGAAAGUGAGUGGGAGCUCUGUAGCAUUUCUCAUAUUAUAUGUAGAUGACAUUCUUUUGAUGGGAAAUGAUAUAGAGCUUUUGGACAACAUUAAGGCCUACUUGAAUAAGAGUUUUUCAAUGAAGGACCUUGGAGAAGCUGCUUAUAUAUUAGGCAUCAAGAUAUAUAGAGAUAGAUCAAGACGCCUCAUAGGUCUUUCACAAAGCACAUACCUUGAUAAGAUAUUGAAGAAGUUCAAUAUGGAUCAGUCUAUGAAGGGGUUCUUGCCUGUGUUGCAAGGUGUGAGAUUGAGCUCAGCUCAAUGUCCGACCACGGCAGAAGAUAUAGAAGAGAUGAGUGUCAUCCCCUAUGCCUCAGCCAUAGGUUCUAUUAUGUAUGCCAUGCUGUGUACCAGACCUGAUGUAAACCUUGCCGUAAGUUUGGUAGGUAGGUACCAAAGUAAUCCCGACAAGGAACACUGGACAGCGGUCAAGAAUAUCUUGAAGUACCUGAAAAGGACUAAGGAAAUGUUUCUCGUUUAUGGAGGUGACGAAGAGCUCGUCGUAAAGGGUUACGUCGAUGCUAGCUUCGACACAGAUCUGGAUGACUCUAAGUCACAAACCGGAUACGUAUAUAUUUUGAAUGGUGGGGCAGUAAGCUGGUGCAGUUGCAAGCAGAGCGUCGUGGCGGGAUCUACAUGUGAAGCGGAGUACAUGGCAGCCUCAGAGGCAGCGCAUGAAGCAAUUUGGGUGAAGGAGUUCAUCACCGACCUAGGAGUCAUACCCAAUGCGUCGGGGCCGAUCAAACUCUUCUGUGACAACAUUGGAGCUAUUGCACUUGCCAAGGAGCCUAGGUUUCACAAGAAGACAAGGCACAUCAAGCGUCGCUUCAACUCCAUUCGUGAAAAUGUUCAAGAUGGAGACAUAGAUAUUUGUAAAGUACAUACGGACCUAAAUGUAGCAGAUCCGUUGACUAAACCUCUCCCUAGAGCAAAACAUGAUCAACACCAGAAUUCCAUGGGUGUUCGAUUCAUCAUAAUGUAACUAGAUUAUUGACUCUAGUGCAAGUGGGAGACUGUUGGAAAUAUGCCCUAGAGGCAAUAAUAAAAGGAUUAUUAUUAUAUUUCCUUGUUCAUGAUAAUUGUCUUUUCUUCAUGCUAUAAUUGUGUUAUCCGGAAAUCGUAAUACAUGUGUGAAUACAUAGACACCAACAUAUCCCUAGUAAGCCUCUAGUUGACUAGAUCGUUGAUCAAUAGAUAGUCAUGGUUUCCUAACUAAGGACAUUGGAUGUCAUUGAUAACAAGAUCACAUCAUUAGGAGAAUGAUGUGAUGGACAAGACCCAAUCCUAAACUUAGCACAAGAUCGUAUAGUUCAUUUGCUAGAGUUUUUCCAAUGUCAAGUAUCUUUUCCUUAGACCAUGAGAUCGUGUAACUCCCGGAUGCCGUAGGAGUGCUUUGGGUGUACCAAACGUCACAAUGUAACUGGGUGACUAUAAAGGUAUACUACGGGUAUCUUCGAAAGUGUCUGUUGGGUUGACACGGAUCAAGACUGGGAUUUGUCACUCCGUAUAACGGAGAUGUAUCUCUGGGCCCACUCGGUAAUGCAUCAUCAUAAUGAGCUCAAAGUGACCAAGUGUCUGGUCACGGGAUCAUGCAUUACGGUACGAGUAAAGUGACUUGCCGGUAAUGAGAUUGAACGAGGUAUUGGGAUACCGACGAUCGAAUCUCGGGCAAGUAACGUACCGAUUGACAAAGGGAAUUGUAUACGGGGUUGCGUGAAUCCUCGACAUCGUGGUUCAUCCGAUGAGAUCAUCGAGGAGCAUGUGUGAGCUAACAUGGGUAUCCAGAUCCCGCUGUUGGUUAUUGACCAGAGAGCUAUCUCGGUCAUGUCUACAUGUCUCCCGAACCCGUAGGGUCUACACACUUAAGGUUCGGUGACGCUAGGGAUGUAGAGAUAUGAAUAUGCAGUAACCUGAAAGUUGUUCGGAGUCCCGGAUGAGAUCCCGGACGUCACGAGGAGUUCUGGAAUGGUCCGGAGGUGAAGAAUUAUAUAUAGGAAGUGCAGUUUUGGCCAUCGGGAGAGUUUCGGGGGUCACCGGUAUUGUACCGGGACCACCGGAAGGGUCCCGGGGGUCCACCGGGUGGGGCCACCCAUCUUGGAGGGCCCCAUGGGCUGAAGUGAGGAGGGGAACCAGCCCAUAGUGGGCUGGUGCGCCCCCUUGGCCCACCCCCUGCGCCUAGGGUUGGAAACCCUAGGGAGGGGGGGCGCCCCCCCACUUGCCUUGGGGGCUACUCCACCCUUGGCCGCCGCCCCCCUAGGAGAUCCCAUAUCCUAGGGCCCCCCUAGGGGAGCCUAUAUAAAGGGGGGGGGGAGGGAGGGGCAGCCGCACCCUUGAGUCUUGGUGCCUCCCUCUCCCCUGCUACACCUCUCCCUCUCAUAGUAGAACGGCGAAGCACUGCUGCGGUGACCCCUGCAUCCACCACCACGCCGUCGUGCUGCUGGAUCUUCAUCAACCUCUCCUCCCCCCUUGCUGGAUCAAGAAGGAGGAGACGUCACACUGACCGUACCUGUGUUGAACGCGGAGGUGCCGUCCGUUCGGCGCUAGGAUCUCCGGUGAUUUGGAUCACGUCGAGUACGACUUCCUCAUCCCCGUUCUUUGAACGCUUCCGCGCGUGAUCUACAAAGGUAUGUAGAUGCAAUCCGAUCACUAGUUGCUAGAUGAACUCAUAGAUGGAUCUUGGUGAAACCGUAGGAAAAUUUUGUUUUCUGCAAUGUUCCCCAACAACAAGUUCGCAAACACAAGUACCACACUAGUAAAAGUUCACCAACAUAUGACAUAACCUCACAAGUUCAUCAACCUAAUGAAACGGCUACAUGAGCACUUCCAUAGUAAAAAACACAAGCACUAAUGCUUUCCGCGCGUGUUCCUGGUGCCACGCCUGCAGGCAAUCUUCUUCUUCUUGUUAGGACGAGCCUCCUCUUCCUCCACUUCCUCCUCCGCCUCAUCAUCCAAGCUAGCCAUCCGCGAGGUCCCUAUGACCACCUUUGGGUUGCCUCUGUUGUCAAAGUCAGUGGGCGUGUACCUGCGUAUGGGCUGCCUAGGCUUCAACAUAUAUGCGGACCGAACUUGAGCGCCCACCAAAGUCAUGUCAUCAUCAAGCUCAUCGCCCUAUCACACAACCAAACAAUAUGGUGAAGACCGGCGUCGUAAUCAAGUGAGAAUCACAUCUAAAGGAUUAGUCAUACCUCUUGGGUGACCGCAUCCUCAUCAUCCAGAUAAGCAUAUGAGGAACUCAAAUCAGCCCCCUGAUGGUUAGAUAAGGGGUCUGAUGGUGUACCAGACCUAGAGGCAGAUGGUUCAUCAAAUUCAGGAUCACGACAACCGAGAAGAUUCGAUAACUGCCUUAACUUCUUGGCCUGAUGCUGUAACAUGAACAAGUAUAUAGGAUAUCAAACUCUGCAACAUAUGUAACAUGGACACCUAAAUGCGAUAUGUACCUUCAGAAAUGCUCGUAGUGAACCAUCAUCACUGCUUUCUCCAACCGGUGUCUUCUCCAGAAUAGACUGGCUUUCAUCAGCUGCUUUCUUGAUCUCGUUGCGCUGCGGAUGAGAACGAAUGAACACGUUAGCCAUUCAAACAUGUGUAAUACGGCCAACGGGAAAGUAAAGAAGGGAACACUUUACCACAUAGUUAAUCACCGGAACAGCAGGGACUCCUUGCCCUUCCCUGACAUCUCUGUUGUACUUCCCCUUUGAUAGAUCCUCAAAGUUUACGGGUUCUUCAAGAAUAUCCUCAUUGUAUGCCGGCGGGCAUAUCUCAACUCGAGUAUUUUCAAGAAGCCAUUGUAUGUAGUUAUCAAAAGCAAGUGAUUUAUGCUCACGAAGCUAGGCGUAUGCACUGCUACGAGCUUGCUCCACACAAAGAUGGAAGCGGGUAACAUACGAAUCAUGAUGCUUGUCCCAGUCCUUUAUCUUCCGCCGCCUUCUCCUAUCCAACCUGCAUGGUACAAAACCAAAUAUUAGCAAAAUCAAGAAGGAGUGACGAUGCUUAGUCAAUACGGUUCAUGCUCUCUUACCUAUGAAGUGCUUUGUCCGUAUCCACCCAUUCCGGCGGGUGAGGCUGGAGCAGACCAAACUAACGAAACACGCGAUGUGGCAAAUGAAACUCAACCGCCCAGUUGCAUAUCAGUGGGCACCACAUAAGCCAGAGAUCCCUAUGCCGCAAGCACAUUGGGUUGAUGGAAAACUCCUCGGUGUACCCAAGUCUGUCAUCGUCGCCAUAUGGCUGCCAUACCACCUAUAAAAUAGGGCAACAAUGCAAAAUUGAUGACUAUUUUUCAGGCAAGCAUGAGAAAUGACUGAAGUAAUGACCUCGUUACCUGCUCAGGCGUAAUCGUGUCCAACUCGGCAAUGUACUUUUUGUACAUGAGAUUGACAUCGUUCAUCAUCUCGGAUACCACAUCCCACUUGUAAGCCCAAGUGGGGCGCCGUAAUUCGCCAUCUUCAUCCCAAUGAUUAAACUUGACGCUCUUCGGGCGUCCAACAGGCAGACGCUCCCAGCUCCAUACAGAAAGCAGAAGCAUAUUACCACCAAUGCCUGCACUACCUGUGAUCCUGCAACACGCAUCAUCUAGCUGCAUAUGAAAGAAAACAAUGUUAACUUGAUAGCAAGGUUGCAUUGCUAAUGAAGAAAUGACUUGAUAGCAAAACAAACCAACUACCUGUCAGUACAAGUAGGCAAGAGUCGUUGAACCCUAGCUCCACCCGCUCCCGAAGACGGUCAACGCCUUCAGCCACAUCCAUGGAGCAUUCUUGCCUGUGGAGUUAGGAAACAAAGUCCUCGAGACAACGUACCACAUAUAGAAACGAGCAUGUGUCUGGAUCACAUCAUCAGUGGCAUCCGCAGGGCAAGUGGCAAAGUGUUCUUGAAUCCACAUGAAAGCAGCUCCGGCUGCUUUCCUUUCCUUUCCUUCUUCUUAUUCAUCAUCAUCAUCAUCAUCAUCAUCAUCAUCUUCUUCUUCUUCAUCUUCAUCAUCAUCAUCUUCUUCUUCUUCUUCUUCUUCAUCUUCAUCAUCAUCAUCAUCAUCAUCAUCAUCAUCUUCUUCUUCUUCUUCUUCUUCUUCUUCUUCUUCUUCUUCUUCUUCUUCUUCUUCUUCUUCUUCUUCUUCUUCUUCUACUCUACAUCAGCCUCAGCCUUGGUAGGAGCCAUACCGAUAAGAGCAAUCAUCUGCUCACACCACCCAUCAGAAUCGGUGCUCAUACAUAGAGGCCUCCCGUCGAUAGGAAGCCCGGUGAUCAAGGCGACAUCCUCAAGCGUCACAGUCAUCUCCCCAGUCCGAAGAUGGAAAAUGUGCGUCUCCGGCCUCCACCGAUCAGCAAGAGAGGUCACCAGUGGAGCGCUGAGGUUCGGCGUGGACCGGCUGACCAACUGAAUCCACGGGAGGAGUCCUGCCUGCUGGAUGUAGGGUAUGUACCGCUCAUCGUAGGGCAUGGCAGGACCAGAGAUCCCGUGAUACUGAAUCUUCAGAGGUUCAAGCUUCUGCGAAAAACAAGUAAUGACAAAUCUUAGGGCAUGUCAAUUUCAACAAAAGGAAAAUUUGCGAAAUAUUUAGAUUACGCAUUAUUACCAUAUCCUUCUCACGCAUCAUGAAGGCCCGGUGUUGUGUGUCGUAGACAUCAUCGAGAAGCCAAACCAUCCUUACAAAGUUCAAACAAUAAACAUAUAAAACUAAACAUCUCAUAUAUGUCUACAAAAAUCAACAUCUCAUAGUUAAUUAUAAAAAUAGGCAUCCCAUAUAUAUCUAAAAAAACUAAAAAAUCUAGGGUUUCACUAACAAGAAUCAUAUAUUGUGAACUAAUCAACAACACUACGGCACUACCACUAUGCCUACACAUCCUAAAUCAAGCAAAUCAAGGGUUCCAUCAAAUCUUGGAUAAAUCUCUAAAAUGGCACCAAAUUUACGGAGGAAAAGAAAGGGAACGGAGAAGUUUACCUAGUAGGAGGGAUUGGAGAUCGAAUCCACGGAUCAAAUCUUCAGANNNNNNNNNNNNNNNNNNNNNNNNNNNNNNNNNNNNNNNNNNNNNNNNNNNNNNNNNNNNNNNNNNNNNNNNNNNNNNNNNNNNNNNNNNNNNNNNNNNNNNNNNNNNNNNNNNNNNNNNNNNNNNNNNNNNNNNNNNNNNNNNNNNNNNNNNNNNNNNNNNNNNNNNGAGAGGGAUGUGGGGGGGGGGGGAUUCGAUGGGGGCGCCGCCGCUGCUCUUUGUCCAGAGAGCGGAGAGGGGGAAGAACUGCCCAGUCGGGCUGGGCCGAUGUGCUUUAAGUCACUGUGCAUCGCCUAAGGGCUAGGCACUGCACAUUACAAGUGUGGCGCCUAGCCCUUAGGUGCUGCACAACUGUCUGUGGGGCCGCGCCUGGCCCCGGGCUGCCACGCUGGCAGGAGGUACGACGUCUAAGGCAAAGGCGCUGCACCAUACGAUGCGGCGCCUAGGUGUCGGGCGCCUCUCUAAAGGGUCAGCAGCGUGAUUUUUUUUGAAGCCAGGUCAGAUUUUGAUUUGAUAUCGUCCUCAGGUCAAAUAUGUGUUUUCUGCCGUGUUCAUGAUAGUAGCUGUGUUCAUGCUAGAAUCCCCAAUGGUAGUGUGCUUUGCUAGGAUAUGUGUUCAUGGUAGGGUCUUGCUAGGAUGUGUGUUCAUGCAAAUGGCAUGUUCAUAUUCAAGCUAGGAUCAUCUUCAUGUUGUUGAUCAUGUUGCUAACAUACAUGUUCAAGCUAGGGUUUGUGUUGAUUGUUAUAUGUGCAUGUAGUAGGACCAUUUUAGGAUGCUGCCAAAUGUGCAUGGCUGCACAUGGGUGCUAUUGGCACUUGCUGUUGCUAUUUUUAGAUGUUUCCAUGCUUAGGAUAGUGCACUGAUGAGUGGGAGUUGCAGAAAAGCAGAUGCCAUUGAUCAGUGGACUUGCCCAACAGCAAGUGCCACUGGUCAGUGGCAUUUUCCCAUGGGCAAGUGCCAUUGAUUGUUGGGCAAGUCCAUUGAUCAGUGCCACUGAUCAGUGGCAUUUUCCCAACAACAAGUGCCAUUGAUAAGUGGCAUUUGCUCAAAGAGUUUGUGCACUGAUCAGUGGCAUUUGCUCCUGGGAAAAUGUCUCUGAUCAGUGCCAUUUUGCAAAGAGUCUGUGCACUAAUACUUAUCUUACUUGACAAGAUAUUGAAGACUAACUGGGAUGUGGUGGGUGGAGGAGCUCAGGUGGUGGCCGGAGCUGAGGGCGAUGAGGAUUUCAUCCCCACGAACAGGUGGCUCAGGACGGUUGACCUGCCUGGCAGGAUCUCCUUCAUGAGCCUGCCUCGUUCAAGGGGACGAUCUCUGAGGCAGGGCCACGAGGAGGGGGCCCAGGAGCCGCUGUGCUACUACCAGCAGAUCAAGGACAAUGAGGACCUCGCCAUGCUCGUCGUCCCUCGCAAGUUCGUGGAGGUGAUGAACACCUGGCUGGUCAUCAAGCGGCUCCCGUGCAUGGUCAGGCUGUCGGUGAACAAGCGGUGCGUGUUCUGGGUGCAGGUCCAGAACUUCGAGGGGCACUUGGUGCUUGGCCAGGGCUGGAACUACUUCUGCCGCCGCCCAGAUCGUCCCCGGUCAUCUGCAGGUUUCUUUGCAGCAGGCACAACUGCGUUGGUGAGACCGAGCAUGCUAUGUAGUUAAGUUAAGUAAGGUGUUAGUGUUGAGCUUUUAUGGUGUGUGACUAGACUUUUGGUACUUGUGCUGGGAACUUGUUAAUAUUUUGGCCAGGAGCAGCACCCUGGCGUGGAGCAGGGAAGGAGGAUGCCCCUGCUGUUAAUCUAGACUUAUGCUCCUUGCUUGUUGUGUUUGAUUUCAUUUGGUUGCUUGCUUUGUUUGAUCUUAUUGUUGUACUGAUCAUAUGGUGGUAAGGCCACCACAUUUGAAUGGGGUGAGCAGAACACAAACGCUGUUUGCAACCAAACAACUGAAGUUUGCAUUUGNNNNNNNNNNNNNNNNNNNNNNNNNNNNNNNNNNNNNNNNNNNNNNNNNNNNNNNNNNNNNNNNNNNNNNNNNNNNNNNNNNNNNNNNNNNNNNNNNNNNNNNNNNNNNNNNNNNNNNNNNNNNNNNNNNNNNNNNNNNNNNNNNNNNNNNNNNNNNNNNNNNNNNNNNNNNNNNNNNNNNNNNNNNNNNNNNNNNNNNNNNNNNNNNNNNNNNNNNNNNNNNNNNNNNNNNNNNNNNNNNNNNNNNNNNNNAUGAGGCUACAUUUCAAGAACCGGGCUGGCUGGAGAUGGACAUGUAAUGCAACUACUGUUGCAAACUGCAACCAGACACGCCCUGUGUGUUUUGAAAUUUGUUCAACAUAUAUUACAAAAAUGUUCAUUGUAUUAAAAAGUUGUUCAACGUAUAUUACAAUAUGUUUAAUGCGUAUUCGAAAAUUGUUCAAUGUAUAUAAUCACAUUUUUUUCAACAAUGUUCAUCGUAUAAAAAAAUUCAUCGUGUAUUAUUACAAUGUUCAUUGUAUAUUAAGAAAAUUUCUGUCGGUAUUAAGAAAAUGUUCAAUGUGUAAUUUUAAAAUAAAAACCAACCAAAAAGUCCGAUAUAGUAAACUGGAUGCUACAGUAGGCAAAAUUUCGUGUUUUGUCCCUUUUCUGAAAGUUGAUCGAGAUCUGACCCUAGUUUGUAAUUUUUUUGAGAUCUGACCCUUUUGCUACCGCCGGGGUCUUUGACGGUAGGGUUACACUGCCUACCACCAUGGUCUAUGGAGAUAGGAUUUAACUGCGUUAUCACAUUGUUAUAACGCUAAAAAUACCCUACCUCCAAGAUCUUGGGUGGUAGGCCGUUAUACCCUACCGCCAGGCUGCUUGGCGGUAGGGUAUGCACUACCUUUGUGUUUGAGGCAACGAAGUAAACGCGUAGCUCUGCACAGGUAGCAUGUAUGUCUUGUCCAUUAUUCAAAGACAUGUUAGUCAGUGUCUAUGCUUUGCUAGAGUGCAAUACACUACUACUAGCUGUAGGUUUUACUAGUUUUUACUGUCUCUGAAAAGGCUGCUGCGAGCCGAGACAUACUCCCUCCGUUCCAGAUUCUAGUGCGUAUAGUUUUUUGGCUUCGAUUCCGAUAUGUAGUGCGCAUAAGCGCUGUGAAGCUGCUUUGGACGAAAUAACCCUCAACUGGUUCACGGCAGUGCAGCAGCAGGUACCCACGUGCGUGACAGACCAAGCAGGGGGAGGGGUAAUUCUUGUCCAAACAAAGACGCCAGCUCAUACAUUGGUAUAAGUGCCCCAGCCAAAGGCGCACUAUAAAGAGGAAUGGAGGGAGUACGAGCUAUUGUCAGGCGUAGACGCGUAGUACUCCCCUGCCCCUAGGCACGUACUAUACCUAGCUCACAGCAAGCCAGGCUGAUGCAUGCAUGCUUUGAUCGAUUGACAUAGAUUAUACACGUACAGUGUCAGUGAGGGGCUUUGUUCAUCUUUGUUUAUUUGGACCAGAGCAUGCUGCAUGUGACAUAUCCAUGCUCUGGCAUUUUCUCGCCCAAAAAGUUGAGCAGGCCUACCGCCAAAGCACAUGGCGGUAGGGAUACACUUCUACCGUCAAACGUCCUGGCGGUAGCAUUUUUUUCCAUGUUAAAUGGACGUGAUGGCACAGUUAAGUUCUACCGUCAUUGAUUUUGGCGGUAGAUUAUGUGACCCUACCGCCAGAGACCGCGGCGGUAGGAAAAAUGGUCAGAUCCUGAAAUAUUUUCGAAUCGGGAUCAGAUCCUGCUAAAGUUUAAGAAAAAGGUCAAAACACCAAAUUUAACCUACUAUAGUAUGGGCCGUUACAGUAAACCCGACGCGACAGUAAAACCAACUAAAAAUGGAGAGAAAAUAAAAUAAAAUAUCGCUCGCAGGGAGGAUGGGCUGGCUAAGCACGUGCCCCGUCCGAAGUUCCCUCCUUUUGACACACGCGGGCGUCACACAGCUGGUCUCGUCUCAGACGACAUGAAACAAAGCACAACCCUCGGGCGGGCACAUAUGUGUGUACAGGUUCCCCAACAGAGAGGAGAAACAUUGGUCAAAAUUAUGAAGUAUAGUUUCAGCCAAAAGUUUGCCUCUUUCUUUUGCCUUUUUUAGCUGUAUGUUUGUAUGUUUCUUUGCGAAAAAUUCUCUUCCUUCAGGGGAUGUUCUACAUUAGAGGAAUAUGACCUCAACAAGUAGUUGUGCAGUUUGCGGGGAAGAUGAGUCAUGGCGUCACUCCCUGCUAUAGUGUACACCAUGCCAUGUUGUAGACGGAAACAAAAAAUUGUCUACUAAAUAUUGAGUUGAAGUUGCAGAGCUUGAAGACUCAUGAAGUCACCACGGGCACCUCGGUAUAGAUGGGAACACCUCCUCUCACAGGAAGACAAUCCGCAUUAAUGAGACACCAAGACAUCAAACUUGAGGCCUGAUCUUUGGUGCAGCUGGGGUACCACUUGUUGGAGUCAAUUCCAGCGAAUCUCGGGUAAGGGGUCCCGAGCUCUAGCUUAAGUACAAUGGUAGCAAGAGAUGCAAGGUUUUUACCCAGGUUCAGGCUCUCUCUAAGAGAUAAUACCCUACGUCAUGCUUUUGUUGUAGUGAUUGAGAUGAAGUACAAAGUACAUGUGUUUCUACCACGAGAUUUUCUGUGUCCUUACGCGUCCUACCCCCUAGCUUAUAUAGGCACCAGGGGGUCUGGGGUUACAUAUAUGUCCGCUACAUAUUUGGUAGAUCACGGUGUAGACGACUUCUGAACUUGGAGUGCGCGCGCCAAGCCUUCGGGAAUCCUCCUUGUGUACGCCGUGGGUCAUUGGGUGCGGCCUAUUAGUGAAUCGCCAGGGAGCUCCUUGGCCCGACACACUGGUCGGGAGACGACGUGAUGAGUACCCCCUAGUCAGGGACACCAUUAGUAGUCCCUGAACCGGUCUUCAAGUCAGGGACGCUCCUCGGUUCUUCUGAACCACUCCUGGUUUUUAGUCGUCGGUCUUAAAACUAGUUCAAAAAGUUCCCGUUUUGAUCUCGAGGAUCACCGAGGUGUAUCCGAAGAGUGCACACGUCGGGCAUCCAAGGACCUCCUUAUGGGUUCCCUUAGCCUUUGUCACAUGCUUUAUUAUUUUCACACCUCAUCCCGAGUGAUAUUUUUCCCGCACGGCGGUGCCUUAGCCUUGAAGUGUUCCUGCGCUAAAGCUGUGCUAAUGGUGUAGUCAUGCUUUGAUAACUCUGAUCGAUUCUGUCCUUCGUUGUGCUAUCACAUCAGAUGUUAUCAUAAUGUUUGAGUGUGGCUCACGGCCCCACCACAUGUUCGGUUAACAAAAAUGAUCGUGCCCCUAUACACAUUGUCUCCUCGAUUCAUGCGCAUAAUUAGCUCACGAUGCUUGGGGAACAUGCGAACUAAUUGCCACGCGGCCCCUCUGUUCUGCCGUCGCUCCAUAUGGGAACUUUGAAUGGUCUUGACUGCUUGAUCCAGCUCGGCCCUUGGACGCUUCCUCGGUAUCUUGGAACUCGGCCACGAAGAUCGCGGUCUGCUCUUCUGUUUGGAGAGAGCGUUUCGUGUUACCAUUUACUAUUAUCACGUCAUGCGGCCCUGCCAUCUUUAGCUUUAGAUAAGCAUAGUGCAGGAUGACAUGGAAACGAGUGGAAGCCAUUCUCUCGAGGAGUGCAUGAUAUCCACUCUUGAAAGGGACGAUGUCGAAGGUUACUCGCCGCUUUAAAAAAAUGGGUGUGCCAAAGACUACAUACAGGGUUAUCCUUCCCGAGCACCGUGCUUUAAUCCCUGGUAUAAUACCCUUGAAGGUGGUAUUAUUGGGCUAGAUCCUUGUUGGGUCUAUAUGUAUCUUCUUGACUGUAUUUGCAUAUAUGAGGUUGAGGUUGUUUCCACCAUCCAUGAGUACUCGUGUCAGACAAAAGCUGUCAACUAUGGGGUCAAGGGCUAGCGCUGUUGGGCUGCCAUGAUGGAUGCUAGUCGGGUGGUUUCGUCGGUCAAAGAUGAUCGGGAUUUUUGACCAUGGAUUAUAUUUUGACGCGGCAGGCUCCACGGCGUAUACAUCAUGGAGCGCGCUCUGCUUUCUGGUGACGUGUGUGAUAUAUAUCAUGUUUAUGUCCUUGACCUCGAGAGGAAACUACUUCUGGCCUGCAUUGCUCAGCCCUGGCUGGUCUGUAUCCUCAUUACGAGGUUGACCUUUGCCUUGGUUAUCGGCCGCAAUCUUUCCGGCCUACUUGAUGACCCAAAAAUUCCGGUUGGCAUGCGUGGCCGGCUGCUACUUGUGAGCUGCAUUGGGAUUUCCGCAAAGAGGAGAGGACGAAGAAGUACAGUAGAGAUAAGUAUUUCCCUCAGUUAAGAACCAAGGUUAUCAAUCCAGUAGGAGAACCACGCAGAACCUCUUUAGCAGCACCUACACACACAAAAACAAAUACUUGCACCCAACCCAAACAAGGGGGUUGUUAAUCCCCUCGGCGGUUAAUUGCAAGGAUCAAAUCUCACAGUGAUAGAUAGAUAAAAUAAAACACAAAAUAAAAUAAUGAUAAAUAAAUUGCAGCAAGGUAUUUUUGGAUUUUAUAUAUGAUAAAAGUAGACACGGGGGCCAUAGUUUUAACUAGAGGCUUCUCUCUUGAACAAAAGCAUACGGUGGGUAAACACAUUACUAUUGGGCAAUUGAUAGAAAAGCCCAUAGUUAUGAUGAUAUUCAAGGCAAUGAUCAUGUAUAUAGGCAUCACGUCCGAGACAAGUAGACUAACUCGUGACUACAUCUACUACUAUUACUCCACCCAUUGACCGCUAUCCAGCAUGCAUCUAGGGUAUUAAGUCAAUAAAAACAGAAUAACACCUUAAGCAAGAUGACAUGAUGUAGACAAAGUAAACCCAAUCAAUAUGAAUAAACCCCAUCUUUUUAUCCUUAAUGGCAAUGAUACAAAUAAGUGUCAUGUCCCUUUCCGUCACUGGGAUUGAGCACCGCAAGAUUGAACCCAUCACAAAGCAACUCUCCCAAUGCAAGAUAAAUCAAACAGAUAGAUCAGAGAGAAAUACAAAGCUAUAACAAUCAUGCAUAAAAGGCUUCAGAAAAGACUCAAAUAUUUCUCAUGAAUAAUCUGAUCAUAAACCCACAAUUCAUCGGAUCCCAACAGACAUACCACAAAAGAAAAUUACAUCGAAUAGGUCUCCAAGAACAUCAAGGAGAACAUUGUAUUGAAGAUAAAAGAGAGAGAAGAAGCCAUCUAGCUACUAGCUAUGGACCCGUAGGUCUAUGGUAAACUACCCACACAUCAUCGGAAGGGAAGCAAGGUUGAUGUAGAAGCCCUCCAUGAUCGAUUCCCCCUCCGGCAGAGUACCGGAGAAGGCCUCUAGAUGGGAUCUCGAAGGAACAAAGGCUUGCGGCGGCGGAAAAAGUGUUUCGGGUGGUUCUCUAAUGUAUUAGGAAUAUUUGGGAAUUUAUAGAAGUGGAACUAGGUCAACAGGUGCCACAAGGGGCCCACAAGCCUGGGGGCACGCCUGGCGGGCUUGCCUCUCCCUCAUGACUCUUCUGGUCUUCUCCCCAAGCUUCUAGGGUUCCUUUUGGUCCAGAAAAAAUAUCAAAAAGUUUCGUAGCAUUUGGACUCUGUUUCGUACUGAUUUCCUGAAAAGCCAAAAACAAGAAAAAAUAGCAACUGGCACUGGGCACUAGGUUAAUAGGUUAGUCCCAAAAAUGAUAUAUAAUUGCAUAUAAAACAUCCAAUAUUGAUAUUAUAAUAUCAUGGAACAAUAAAAAAUUAUAGAUGCGUUGGAGACGUAUCAGUAUCCCUAAGCUUAAUUCCUGCUCGUCCUCGAGUAGGUAAAUUAUAAAAAUGGAUUUUUUAUGUGGAAUGCUACCUAUCAUGUUCAUCAUGUAAUUUCUCUUUUUGUGGUAUGAAUAUUUAAGAUCCGAAUGGUUCAAAGCAAUAGUCUAUAGUUUGAUAUAAAGACAUCAAUACUUGGGCAUACUAACAAACAAUCAUGCUUUUCAAAACAAAAAUGCUAAAGAAAGUUAUCCCUACAAAAUCAUAUAGUCUUGUCAUGCUCCAUAUUCUUAACACAAAAUAUUUAUCAUGCACUACCUCGAUGACAAGCCGAGCAAUUGGUCCAUACUUUCUAACGCGCUUCAACUUUUUCAACCCCACGCAAUACAUGAGCGUAAGCCACGGAUAUAACACUGUGUGUGGAAUAGAAUACGGUGGUAGAGGUUAAUAUGGAGAAGAUAAAAUGGAAGAAAGUCACACAUUGACGAGGAUAAUCCAUGGGCUAUGGAGAUGCCCAUCAAUUAAUGUCAAUGCAAGGAGUAGGGAUUGCCAUGCAACGGAUGCACUAAGAGCUAUAAGUGUAUGAAAGCUCAAAAUAAAAACUAAGUGGGUGUGCAUCCAACUCGCUUGCUCAUGAAGACCUCGGGCAUUUGAGGAAGCCCAUCAUCGGAAUAUACAAGUCAAGUUCUAUAACGAAAAUUUUCCACUAGUAUAUGAAAGUGAAAGCAUAGGAGACUCGCUAUAUGAAAAAACAUAUACUUUGAAGCACAAGUGUGGAAAAGGAUAGUAACAUUGCCCCUUCUCUCCUUUUCUCUCAUUUUUUGGUGGGCUCUUUUUGGCCUCUUUUUUUAUUUUCUCACUGGACAAUGCUCGAAUAAUGAAUAAUGAUAAUCAUCACACUUCUAUUUACUUACAACUCGAUACUUGAACAAAUAUAUGACUCUAUAUGAAUGCCUCUGGCAGUGUACCAGGAUGUGCAAUUAUCUAGUGUAACAUGUAUAAAAAAUGAUGAAUGGUGGCUGAGCCACCAAUACUAUGUCAGCUAUAUGAUCAUGCAAAGCAAUAUGACAAUGAUGAUGUGUGUCAUAAAAACAAAAUGGUGGAAGUUGCAUGGUAACAUAUCUCGGAAUGGCUAUAGAAAUGACAUAAUAGGUAGGUAUGGUGGCUGUUUUGAGAAAGAUAUAAUGAGACUUAUGUGUGAUAGAGCGUAUCAUACCAUGGGGUUUGUAUGCACCGGCGAAGUUUGCACCAACUAUCGAGGUGACAAAGGGCAAUGCACGGUACCAAAAAGGCUAGAAAAUUGCAAAAAGGUGAGAGUGCGUAUAAUCCAUGGACUCAUAUUAGUCAUAAAGAAAUCGUAUACGUAUUGCGGAAGUUUAUUAGCCCUCGAAGCAAAGUACUACUACGCAUGCCCUUAGGGGGAUAGAUUGGUAGGAAAAGACCAUCGCUCGUCCCCAGCCGCCACUCAUAAGAAAGACAAUCAAUAAUAAAUCAUGCUCCAACUUCUUAGCAUAACUAGAGACCGUACGUGCAUGCUUCGGGAAUCACAAACCUUAACACCAAUAUUCUUACUAAACCACAAUCAUUCACUAGUACCUCCCACAUAUUACCAUCUUAAUAUCGCAAAACUAUUGCAAGGAAUCAAACUUAUCAUAUUCAGUGAUCUACAUGAAAGUUUUUAUUAUAUCCUUCUUGAAUACCUGUCAUAUUAGGACCAAUUUCAUAACUCGUGCAUAAUGCCACUACUAUUUAUCAAAAUCUAAAAAUGAUAUAAUCGAAGCAUGAGUGUGCAACUAUUUCUUUAAAAUAUAACCACUGUCGUGCUCUAGAAAAUAUAAGUGAAGCACUAGAGCAACUGCCUAGCUCAAAAGAUAUAAGUGAAGCACAAAGAGUAUUCUAACAAAUCGCGAAUGAGUGUGUGUCCCUCUCAAAAGGUGUGUCUAGCAAAGAUGAAUGUGGCAAACUAAAAAACAAAGGAAGCAAGGACUCGUAUAAUACUCGACGCUCCAAGCAAAACUCAUAUCAUGUGAUGAAUAAAAAUAUAGCUCCAAGUAAUUUACCGAUGGUUGGUAGACAAAAAAGGGGACGCCUUACGGGGAAUCCCCAAGCUUAGAUGCUUGGGUAUCCUUGAAUAUUACCUUGGGGUGCCUAGGGCAUCCCCAAGCUUAGGCUCUUGCCACUCUCAAUUCCUUCAUCCAUCGCGAUCCCACUUAAAACUUAACUUAAGCACACAAAACUCAACGGAAACUUACGCGAGAUUCGUUAGUAUAACAACCAAAUCACAAACUUUAGGUACUGUUAUGAACCCAUUCAUAUUUUAUAAUUACAUAAUACCUACUGAACUUCUCCAUGACUUAUACCCCUCGGUACAAUCCAUAGAUUCAUCAAAACAAGCAAACUAUGCAACGAAAAUGUGUCUAAAAUAGAACAAUCUGUAGUAAUCAGAAUAAUGACCAUACUUCUAGAGCUUUAAAAAUUAUAAAAAAUAGUGGAAACGUGGACAAUUUGUAUAUCAAUCAUGUGAAAAAAAUUCAGAUAAAAACAAGUUCCAGUGGUUUUUAGAGUUUUCUGGACCGAGCGCAAAAGUUUAUGUUGUUUCACAGAAUCGAAUCAACUAUCAACCAAAUCAUCCCAAAGGCUUUACUUGGCACAAACUCUAAUUAAUCAAAAAAACACAACCAUAACAGUAGCAUAAUUGUGUGCACACUCAAAACAGAAAAUAAACAAGAAAAAAUAAAGAUAGCUAUUGGGUUGCCUCCCAACAAGCGCUAUAGUUUCACGCCCCUAGCUAGGCGUAAUGCAUAGUUUCAAGUGUUGUCAUCUUUAGUUUCCAACUCCUAAAUCACACAUCCAUACUUCCUAGGAGUCUUAGCACACAUAUUUUUAAGAAUCGCACUCCUAGGAACAAAGUUGAGGAAUUCAUUCUCGUAGAUGGGUUCCUUUAUUAAAUCAAUGAAAUUGGGGUGAACACUAAUCAUUUUAAGAUCCUCACUUCCAUUACUAGAUGUAGCACCCUUGUUCUUAGGAACAUACAUAAACUUGCAAUUCUUACUAGGAGGAGUCCUUCCAAUAGUUUUAAUGAAAGAAAACUCGGAACCCAAAUUAUUAAUAACUUCUUCCAACUUAUCAAUUAUGGCGGGAUUUUGUUCUAUCCUCUCGUUAAUUACCGGUUCCUUCUCUUUUAUUGUUUUCAGAGUAGUUCCUACCUUUGAUCCAAAUUUAGUAAUAUGAUUAUGAAUCUUCUUAUCCAAAGUUUCAAUAUGCUCUACGGUUGGCGUUUUAUUUUCAAUAGCUUCUAGCCUUUGCAUAACAUGCUCCAAAGUUAAUGUUGUUUCAUUAAUAAUAAUAGGUGGGGAUCCCACUAAAUUUCCCAUAGCAUUGAAAGCAUCCAUAGGGUGAAUACUUAAGAAAUUCCCUCCGGUAAUAGUGUCAAGCACAAAUCUAUACCAAGUAGUAACACCCACAUAAAAAUUGCGAAGAAGAACGAUAGUAGAUGGCUUAGGAGUUGAUCUAUUUUGAACAUCACAAAUCCUAUACCAAGAAUCUUUUAAAUUCUCUCAUCCCCUUUGUUUAAAAUUGAGUACUUCAUUUUAGGGGUACACGUAACAAGAAAAGACCUGGCCAUAAUGGCAAAUCAAGGAAGCAAACAAGCAAAAGCAAUAAAAGAGGCAAACAAAACAAAAAAAAAUA